rnacentral:lncRNA from 1 species
GGAGAAGAAGUGAAGCCGAAGGCAAAAGGAUGCGUGAUUAGAAAUAGAUACGGUUGCAUUGGAUUGGUUGAUGGGUGGAUUGAUGGUGUGUAGCGUGACUGAUAAUAAGCAACUGGUCCUGAAUUUGGGGAGUUGAUUGUAUGGGUUUGGUGGAAAGCCACCAACUGAAGGGAAAUACCCAAUGGUUCCUGGGUACAUAUGUACCCUAUAUGGGGAUUUAUUUUUAAUAGUUAAACAAAAAAUCAAAAUAGUUAAGAAACUAUUUUUAGAAUAAAGUUGACUUACUUGCGCGCUAGUAUACACAUUUUCAGAAAAAAGAAAACUAUGUUGACUUCACAGUGAAAAAGACAAAAUUUAUUUGCUACUAUAGAUCACUAUUCACGCUAUUUUGAUGGGAAAUUUAUCUUUUUUGAAAAGAAGUCAAAGAUGAAUUUUAUGUUUUUGUCAGUUUUCUCACUACUACAAUGGAAGGUCAAGUUUUUAUCAAAAAUAUUUUUAGAAAUUUUUGACUUUUUAUUGAAUUACUAAAAAAAAUUGCAUAUAGGGUACAUAUGUACCCAGGAACCAAAAGUUCCCCUCCACCAACGGCGGCGAGCACCCGUACCAGAUCAUGUCGGACUACCGGACGCUGCUGGUGUCGGACUGGACGCGGCUCGGGUUCGCGGAGGUGGAUUAUGGUUGGGGCCCGCCGGCGCACGUGGUGCCCCUGACGAACCUGGACUACAUCGCGACGUGCAUACUGGUGAAGCCAUGGGCGCACAAGCCGGGGGCGCGGCUCAUCACCCAGUGCGUGACGUCCGACCGCGUCGCCGCCUUCCACCAAGGAAUGCUCGACAUGAACUGACCCGAGCUGACCGGAGCGGAAGAAAUGAAGCCGAAGGCAAAGGGAUGCGUACGUAGGUGUAAGCAUCACUCAUGAUUAGAGAUAGAGAAAAAUUCAUCAUAGGUCACAAAAGUUGAGCCGGCUGAUACUUAAGUACCACUACUUCAAAAUAUCCGAACUACAGUCCAUAUACUUGUGCGGAGGGUUCACUUUGGUCCAUAUACGAAUUGAGCUACGUAUUCGUUGACUUGGCCGAGUCAGCCGUUGCCAGCUAUGCUUUGACCGCCACAUGUGCAACACCUGGUGGGGGGGGGGGGGUUAAUACUAGUAGUUCGGGUUUUUUUUGCAAAUGCGCCAACACCUGGCGAUUAAACGCCCCUCACCAAGUCGGACCGCACCCGGUCGCACCCUCCCGCACCCUCUCUGCUCGUCGUCGCUGCCGAGGUAGUGCGUUUGCUCGUCGGCGUCGAGAACGGCUCCAUGAGCACGUCGUCGGACGCUGAGCCGCCGCCGUCCGCGCCGUUCGGGAGGGGCCUGCGCGACGUGCCUCUUGCUCCUUCGCGUCGUCGUGAUGAUUCCUCGCCGCCCCUGUACGGUACGUCGCUGUCACCAGCAGCUCCGUUGAUCGAUCUGUGCAAUUUAGCUCUCGUAAAGAGUUCUUGGCCGCAUCAAUUGCGCGUACGAGCUAGGGUUUGGCCGUUCGUUCAACUCUCUGACGGAUUGGGUGUGGGGUGGUAGGGUUUUAGCAGUUUCUUGAAGAUCUUUGUGGCAGGCCAAAAAUAGGGCUGCGUCAUGGAGGGUUUGCAGUAGAUGGCCAUGUUUGCGGAGAUCUGGAGUGGUUAAGGUUCUUUCUCCCCCCCCAAUUUUUCAUCGGUCCAGGGGUCUAGGGUUUAAGCAGUAAAGUUUGCUUUUAGUGUCAGAGUGUUAAUUGGACCAAAAAUUGUUGUAAUUUGCAAUUACAUUGUGUCAGAUUUACCAAAGAUGGUUGCUUUUCGACCUGUAAGAUCAUACAUUUGUUAAUUGGAGCCAUGAAUCUCUAUUUUUCUUUCUGAAAAAGGUAAAAAAGUCUGAAUGUCUGAACUGUAGUCUGAAAUGUCUGAACCUCUCUGUAGUCUGAAAUGUCUGAACUUUUUCAACUUGAUUGUUUUGCAGGACCCUUAAGCAACCACUUCUCUGUUAAGGUUAUACAUGGUGGCUACUUUCUGUGUGCUGGCAAGCAUAUGGAUUAUCACAAAGGUCACUCCAUUUGAUAUGAUUACUGUGACAUAGAUAAUUGGACACCUAAUGUUGUAGCCAGUCUAGUGGAGAAAAUUGGAUAUGAGUUUGAGGGCAGGAUCGGGGCUUAUUGGUGUGUUCCUGGAUUGACAGUGUAUAAGAAUGGAUUAAGAGAGAUCAAGAUAGGGGACAACACUAUGACAGAAAACAUGAAGGAUUGUGUUCUAAAUGGCAACCACUUCCAAUAGAUAUUUCUUGAUCAUGAUGUGAGCAUGAUAUCAUAUGUUUCUGUUGUUCAAGUCCACUCUGAUGAUGAGGAUCCUCCAAUUGUCAGGUUCAGUGGCAUUAGGACAAAGAAGGAGAAUGCACACCAGCAACAAGCAGAGUAGACACAACAGCAGCAAGAGGAGCAGGCUCAGCUCACCCUAGUGGAAUAGGAGCAGGCUGAGCUCCCUCAAGUGGAACAGGAGCUGCCUCAGCAUGAUCAAGAGCAUGAGCAUGAUCAUGAUCAUGAUCAAGAGCAUGAGCAAGAUGAAGCAGAGUCAGAAAGUGUAGCAGAGUCAGAAGAAGAUGAUUUCAUACCAAGUCCACCCCAUCCUGGAACUACUUACCUUUCAUCUCAGUUUGGGUUUAGGGCAAGGAAAUCCUUUAGGUUUUUGAACAUGGAUGCAGCAAACACAGUUGGCUGUUCAGUAGUGCAGGAUUCAGAUGAAGAUUACAUUCCACAAAUUGUUGAUUCAGACAUUGAUCUGCAGGAUGAUGAUGACUUGUUUGACAAACAUGUUGAUUGUGAGAAGGGCAAAGGACCAGCAGUCCAAGAAGAAGUUGAUGAUGAAGGAAAUAUGCCCUAGAGGCAAUAAUAAAGUUAUUAUUUAUUUCCUUAUAUCAUGAUAAAUGUUUAUUAUUCAUGCUAGAAUUGUAUUAACCGGAAACAUAAUACAUGUGUGAAUACAUAGACAAACGAAGUGUCACUAGUAUGCCUCUACUUGACUAGCUCGUUAAUCAAAGAUGGUUAUGUUUCCUAACCAUGAACAAUGAGUUGUUAUUUGAUUAACGGGAUCACAUCAUUAAGUGAAUGAUCUGAUUGACAUGACCCAUUCCAUUAGCUUAGCACCCGAUCGUUUAGUAUGUUGCUAUUGCUUUCUUCAUGACUUAUACAUGUUCCUAUAACUAUGAGAUUAUGCAACUCCCGUUUACCGGAGGAACACUUUGGGUACUACCAAACUUCACAACGUAACUGGGUGAUUAUAAAGGAGUACUACAGGUGUCUCCAAAGGUACAUGUUGGGUUGGCGUAUUUUGAGAUUAGGAUUUGUCACUCCGAUUGUGGGAGAGGUAUCUCUGGGCCCUCUCGGUAAUGCACAUCACUUAAGCCUUGCAAGCAUUGCAACUAAUAAGUUAGUUGCGGGAUGAUGUAUUACAGAACGAGUAAAGAGACUUGCCGGUAACGAGAUUGAACUAGGUAUUUGGAAUACCGACGAUCGAAUCUCGGGCAAGUAACAUACCGAUGACAAAGGGAACGACGUAUGUUGCUAUGCGGUCUGACCGAUAAAGAUCUUCGUAGAAUAUGUAGGAGCCAAUAUGGGCAUCCAGGUCCCGCUAUUGGUUAUUGACCGGAGACGUGUCUCGGUCAUGUCUACAUUGUUCUCGAACCCAUAGGGUCCGCACGCUUAAGGUUACGAUGACAGUUAUAUUAUGAGUUUAUGCAUUUUGAUGUACCGAAGGUUGUUCGGAGUCCCGGAUGUGAUCACGGACAUGACGAGGAGUCUCGAAAUGGUCGAGACAUAAAGAUUGAUAUAUUGGAAGCCUAUGUUUGGAUAUCGGAAGUGUUCCGAGUGAAAUCGGGAUUUUACCGGAGUACCGGGAGGUUACCGGAACCCCCCGGGAGCUAAAUGGGCCUUAGUGGGCUUUAGUGGAAAAGAGAAGGGGCAGCCCAAGAUGGGCCGCGCGCCUCCCCCCUCCCCUAGUCCUAUUAGGACAAGGAGAGGUGGCCGGCCCCUCCUCUCUCUUUUCCCCCUCCGCGAAUCCUAUUCCAACUAGGAUUGGGGGGGGGGGAAUCCUACUCCCAGAGGGAGUAGGACUCUCCUGGCGCGCCCUCCUUGGCCGGCCAGCCUCCCCCCCUUAGUCCUUUAUAUACGGAGGCAGGGGCACCCCAGAGACACACAAGUUGAUCCACGUGAUCUAUUCCUUAGCCGUGUGCGGCGCCCCCAGCCACCAUAGUCCUCGAUAAUAUUGUAGCGGUGCUUAGGCGAAGCCCUGCAGCAGUAGCACAUCAGGAUCAUCACCACGCCGUUGUGCUGACGGAACUCUUCCCCGACACUUUGCUGGAUCGGAGUCCGGGGAUCGUCAUCGAGCUGAACGUGUGCUAGUCCUCGGAGGUGUCGUAGUUUCGGUGCUUGAUCGGUCGGAUCGUGAAGACGUACGACUACAUCAACCAAACGCUUCCGUUGUCGAUCUACUAGGUAUGUAGAUCAUACUCUCCCCUCUCGUUGCUAUGCAUCACAUGAUCUUGCGUGUGCGUAGGAAAUUUUUUGAAAUUACUACGAAACCCAACAGUGGUAUCAGAGCCUAGGUUUUAUAUGUUGAUGUUAUUUGCACGAAUAGAACACAAGUGAGUUGUGGGCGAUAUAAGUCAUACUGCCUACCAGCAUGUCAUACUUUGGUUCGGCGGUAUUGUUGGAUGAAGCGGCCCAGACCGACAUUACGCGUACGCUUACGCAAGACCGGUUCUCCCGACGUGCUUUGCACAGAGGUGGCUUGUGGGUGACAGUUUCUCCAACUUUAGUUGAACCGAGUAUAGCUACGCCCGGUCCUUGCGAAGGUUAAAACAGAGUCAAAUUGACAAACUAUCGUUGUGGUUUUGAUGCGUAGGUGAGAUUGGUUCUUACUUAAGCCCGUAGCAGCCACGUAAAACUUGCAACAACAAAGUAGAGGACGUCUAACUUGUUUUUGCAGGGCAUGUUGUGAUGUGAUAUGGUCAAGGCAUGAUGCUGAAUUUUAUUGUAUGAGAUGAUCAUGUUUUGUAACCGAGUUAUCGGCAACCGGCAGGAGCCAUAUGGUUGUCUCUUUAUUGUAUGCAAUUCAAUCGCGAUGUAAUGCUUUACUUUAUCACUAAACGGUAGUGAUAGUCGUGGAAGCAUAAGCUUGGCGAGACGACAACGAUGCUACGAUGGAGAUCAAGGUGUCACGCCGAUGACGAUGGUGAUCACCACGGUGCUUCGGAGAUGGAGAUCACAAGCACAAGAUGAUGAUGUCCAUAUGAUGUUUAUCUUUUAUGCAUCUUAUCUUGCUUUGAUUGACGGUAGCAUUAUAAGAUGAUCUCUCACUAAAUUAUCAAGUAGUGUUCUCCCUGAGUAUGCACCGUUGCGAAAGUUCUUCGUGCUGAGACACCACAUGAUGAUCGGGUGUGAUAGGUUCUACGUUCAAAUACAACGGGUGCAAAACAGUUGCACACGUGGAAUACUCAGGUUAAACUUGACGUGCCAAGCAUAUACAGAUAUGGCCUCGGAACACGGAGACUGAAAGGUCGAGCAUGAAUCAUAUAGUAGAUAUGAUCAACAUAGUGAUGUUCACCAAUGAAACUACUGCAUCUCACGUGAUGAUCGGACAUGGUUUAGUUGAUUUGGAUCACGUGAUCACUUAGAGGAUUAGAGGGAUGUCUAUCUAAGUGGGAGUUAUUAAUGAAUAUGAUUAAAUUGAACUUAAAUUUAUCAUGAACUUAGUCCUGGUAGUAUUUUGCAAAUUAUGUUAUAGAUCAAUAGCUCGCGUUGUUGCUUCCCUGUGUUUAUUUUGAUAUGUUCCUAGAGAAAAUUGUAUUGAAAGAUGUUAGUAGCAAUGAUGCGGAUUGGAUCCGUAAUCUGAGGUUUAUCUUCAUUGCUGCACAGAAGAAUUAUGUCCUUGAUGCACCGCUAGGUGACGGACCUAUUGCAGGAGCAGAUGCAGACGUUAUGAACGUUUGGCUAGCUCAAUAUGAUGACUACUUGAUAGUUUAGUGCACCAUGCUUAAUGGCUUAGAAUCGGGACUUCAAAGACGUUUUGAACGUCAUGGAGCAUAUGAGAUGUUCCAGGAGUUGAAGUUAAUAUUUCAAGCAAAUACCUGAGUUGAGAGAUAUGAAGUCUCCAACAAGUUCUAUAGCUAAAAGAUGGAGGAGAAUCGCUCAACUAGUGAGCAUGUGCCCAGAUUGUCUGAGUACUAUAAUUGCUUGAAUCAAGUGGGAGUUAAUCUUCCAGAUAAGAUAGUGAUUGACAGAAUUCUCUAGUCACCAUCACCAAGUUAGUAGAACGUCGUGAUGAACUAUAAUAUGCAAGGGAUGACAAAAUAAUUCCCAAGCUCUUCGUGAUGCUGAAAUCGACGAAGGUAGAAAUCAAGAAAAACAUCAAGUGUUGAUGGUUAACAAGACCACUAGUUUCAAGAAAAGGGCAAAGGGAAGAAGGGGAACUUCAAGAAGAACGGCAAGCAAGUUGCUGCUCAAGUGAAGAAGCCCAAGUCUGGUCCUAAGCCUGAGACUAAGUGCUUCUACUGCAAAGGGACUGGUCACUAGAAGCGGAACUACCCCAAGUGAUUGGCCGAUAAGAAGGAUGGCAAAGUGAACAUAAGUAUAUUUGAUAUACAUCUUAUUGAUGUGUACUUUACUAGUGUUUAUAGCAACCCCUCAGUAUUUGAUACUAGUUCAGUUGCUAGGAUUAGUAACUAGAAACGGGAGUUGCAGAAUAAACAGAGACUAGUUAAGGGUGAAGUUACGAUGUGUGUUGGAAGUGGUUCCAAGAUUGAUAUGAUCAUCAUCGCACACUCCCUAUAAUUUCGGGAUUAGUGUUGAACCUAAAUAAGUGUUAUUUGGUGUUUGCGUUCAGCAUGAAUAUGAUUUGAUCAUGUUUAUUGCAAUACGGUUAUUCAUUUAAGUAAGAGAAUAAAUUGUUGUUCUGUUUACAUGAAUAAAACCUUAUAUGGUUACACACCCAAUGAAAAUAGUUCGUUGGAUCUCGAUCGUAGUGAUACACAUAAUCAUAAUAUUGAAACCAAAAGAUGCAAAGUUAAUAAUGAUAGUGCAACUUAUUUGUGGCACUGCCGUUUAGGUCAUAUUGGUGUAAAGCGCAUGAAGAAACUCCAUGCUGAUGGGUUUUUGGAAACACUUGAUUAUGAAUCAGUUGAUGCUUGCGAACCAUGCCUCAUGGGCAAGAUGACUAAGACUCCAUUCUUCGGAACAAUGGAGCGAGCAACAGAUUUGUUAGAAAUCAUACAUACUGAUGUAUGUGGUCCGAUGAAUAUUGAGGCUCGCGACAGGUAUCAUUAUUUUCUGAUCUUCACAGAUGAUUUAAGCAGAUAUGGGUAUAUCUACUUAAUGAAACAUAAGUCUGAAACAUUUGAAAAGUUCAAAUAAUUUCAGAGUGAAGUUGAAAAUCAUCGUAACAAGAAAAUAAAGUUUCUACGAUCUAAUCGUGGAGAAGAGUAUUUGAGUUACGAGUUUGGCUUUCAGUUAAAAAACAAUGUGAAAUAGUUUCACUACUCACGCCACCUGGAACACCACAAUGUAAUGGUGUGUCCGAACGUCAUAACCGUACUUUAUUAGAUAUGGUGCGAUCUAUGAUGUCUCUUACCGAUCUACCACUAUCGUUUUGGGGUUAUGCAUUAGAGACAACCGCAUUCACGUUAAAUAGGGCUCCAUCAAAAUCCGUUGAGACGACACAAUCUGAACUAUGGUUUGGCAAGAAACCAAAGUUGUCGUUUCUUAAAGUUUGGGAUUGUGAUGCUUAUAUGAAAAAGUUUCAGCCUGAUAAGCUCCAACCCAAAUCGGAGAAAUAUGUCUUCAUAGGAUACCCAAAGGAGACUAUUGGGUACACCUUCUAUCACAGAUCCGAAGGCAAGACAUUCGUUGCUAAGAAUGGAUCCUUUCCAGAGAAGGAGUUUCUCUCGAAAGAAGUGAGUGGGAGGAAAGUAGAACUUGAUAAGGUAAUUGUACCAUCUCCCUUAUUGGAAAGUAGUUCAUCACAGAAAUCUGUUCUUGUGACUACUACACCAAUUAGUGAGGAAGAUAAUGAUGAUGAUCAUGUAACUUCAGAUCAAAUUACUACCGAAUCUCGUAGGUAAACCAGAGUGAGAUCUGCACCAGAGUGGUACGGUAAUCCUAUUCUGGAAGUCAUGUUACUAGACCAUGACGAACUUGCGAACUAUGAAGAAGCGAUGGUGAGCCCAGAUUCCGCAAAAUGGCUUGAGGCCAUGAAAUCUGAGAUGAGAUCCAUGUAUAAGAACAAAGUAUGGACUUUGGUUGACUUGCCAGAUGAUCGGCAAGCCAUAGAAAAUAAAUGGAUUUUCAAGAGGAAGACGGACGCUGAUAGUAGUGUUACUAUCUACAAAGCUAGAAUUGUCGCAAAAGGUUUUCGACAAGUUCAAGGUGUUGACUACGGUGAGAGUUUCUCACUCGUAUCUAUGCUUAAGUCUGUCCGAAUCAUGUUAGCAAUUGCCGCAUUUUAUGAAAUCUGGCAAAUGGAUAAACAAAACUGCAUUCCUUAAUAGAUUUAUUAAAGAAGAGUUGUAUAUGAUACAACCAGAAGGUUUUGUCAAUCCUAAAGGUGCUAACAAAAUAUGCAAGCUCCAGCGAUCCAUCUAUGGACUGGUGCAAGCAUCUCGGAGUUGGAAUAUACGCUUUGAUAAGUUGAUCAAAGAACAUAGUUUUAUACAGACUUGCGAUGAAGCCUGUAUUGACAAGAAAGUGAGUGGGAGCACUACAACAUUUCUGAUAAGUAUAUAUGUAUGACAUAUUGUUGAUCAGAAAUAAUGUAGAAUUAAUCUGCAAAGCAUAAAGGAGUGUUUUUAAAGAAGUUUUUCAAAGAAAGACCUCGGUAAAGCUGCUUACAUAUUGAGCAUCAAGAUCUAUAGAGAUAGAUCAAGACGCUUGAUAAGUUUUUUCAAUGAGUACAUACCUUGACAAGAUUUUGAAGUAGUUCAAAAUGGAACAGUCAAAGAAAGAGUUCUUGCCUGUGUUGCAAGGUGUGAAAUUGAGUAAGACUCAAAGCCCGACCAUGGCAGAAGAUAGAAAUAGAAUGAAAGUCAUUCCCUAUGCCUCAGCCAUAGGUUCUAUAAAGUAUGCCAUGCUGUGUACCAGAUCUAUUGUAUACCCUACACUGUGUUAAGCAAGGGAGUACAAUAGUGAUCUAAGAGUAGAUCACUGGACAACGGUCAAAAUUAUCCUUAGUGGAAUAAGGAAAUAUUUCUCAGUUAUGGAGGUGACAAAAAGGUUCAUCGUAAAAAGUUACGUCGAUGCAAGUUUUGACACAGAUCUGGAUGACUCUAAGUCUCGAUCUAGAUACAUAUUGAAAGUGGGAGCAAUAAGCUAGAGUAGCUCCAUGCAGAGCAUUGUUGACAUAGAAAUUCGCAAAAUACUUACGGAUCUGGAUGUGACAGACCCGUUGACUAAAAUUAUCUCACAAGCAAAACAUGAUCACACCUUAGUACUCUUUGGGUGUUAAUCACAUAGCGAUGUGAACUAGAUUACUGACUCUAGUAAACCCUUUUGGGUGUUGAUCACAUAUCGAUGUGAACUAUGGGUGUUAAUCACAUGGUGAUGUGAACUAUUGCUGUUAAAUCACAUGGCGAUGUGAACUAGAUUAUUGACUCUACUGCAAGUGGGAGACUAAAGGAAAUAUGCCCUAGAGGCAAUAAUAAAGUUAUUAUUUAUUUCCUUAUAUCAUGAUAAAUGUUUAUUAUUCAUGCUAGAAUUGUAUUAACUGGAAACAUAAUACAUGUGUGAAUACAUAGACAAACAAAGUGUCACUAGUAUGCCUCUACUUGACUAGCUCGUUAAUCAAAGAUGGUUAUGUUUCCUAACCAUGAACAAUGAGUUGUUAUUUGAUUAACGGGAUCACAUCAUUAAGUGAAUAAUCUGAUUGACAUGACCCAUUCCAUUAGCUUAGCACCCGAUCGUUUAGUAUGUUGCUAUUGCUUUCUUCAUGACUUAUACAUGUUCCUAUAACUAUGAGAUUAUGCAACUCCCGUUUACCGGAGGAACACUUUGGGUACUACCAAACGUCACAAUGUAACUGGGUGAUUAUAAAGGAGUACUACACGUGUCUCCAAAGGUACAUGUUGGGUUGGCGUAUUUCGAGAUUAGGAUUUGUCACUUCGAUUGUCGGAGAGGUAUCUCUGGGCCCUCUCGGUAAUGCACAUCACUUAAGCCUUGCAAGCAUUGCAACUAAUAAGUUAGUUGCGGGAUGAUGUAUUACAGAACGAGUAAAGAGACUUGCCGGUAACGAGAUUGAACUAGGUAUUUGGAAUACCGACGAUCGAAUCUCGGGCAAGUAACAUACCGAUGACAAAGGGAACGACGUAUGUUGUUAUGCGGUUUGACCGAUAAAGAUCUUCGUAGAAUAUGUAGGAGCCAAUAUGGGCAUCCAGGUCCCGCUAUUGGUUAUUGACCGGAGACGUGUCUCGGUCAUGUCUACAUUGUUCUCGAACCCGUAGGGUCUGCACGCUUAAGGUUACGAUGACAGUUAUAUUAUGAGUUUAUGCAUUUUGAUGUACCGAAGGUUGUUCGGAGUCCCGGAUGUGAUCACGGACAUGACGAGGAGUCUCGAAAUGGUCGAGACAUAAAGAUUGAUAUAUUGGAAGCCUAUGUUUGGAUAUCGGAAGUGUUCCGGGUGAAAUCGGGAUUUUACCGGAGUACCGAGAGGUUACCGGAACCCCCCGGGAGCUAAAUGGGCCUUAGUGGGCUUUAGUGGAAAAGAGAAGGGGCAGCCAAGAUGGGCCGCACGCCUCCCCCCUCCCCUAAUCCUAUAAGGACAAGGAGAGGUGGCCAGCCCCCCCUCUCUCUUUUCCCCCUCCGCGAAUCCUAUUCCAACUAGGAUUGGGGGGGGGGGGAAUCUUACUCCCAGAGGGAGUAGGACUCUCCUGGCGCGCCCUCCUUGGCCGGCCAGCCUCCCCCCUUAGUCCUUUAUAUACGGAGGCAGGGGCACCCCAGAGACACACAAGUUGAUCCACGUGAUCUAUUCCUUAGCCGUGUGCGGCGCCCCCAGCCACCAUAGUCCUCGAUAAUAUUGUAGCGGUGCUUAGGCGAAGCCCUGCAGCAGUAGCACGUCAAGAUCGUCACCACGCCAUCGUGCUGACGGAACUCUUCCCCGACACUUUGCUGGAUCGGAGUCCGGGGAUCGUCAUCGAGUUGAACGUGUGCUAGAACUAGGAGGUGCCGUAGUUUCGGUGCUUGAUCGGUCGGAUCGUGAAGACGUACGACUACAUCAACCAAACGCUUCCGUUGUCGAUCUACUAGGUAUGUAGAUCAUACUCUCCCCACUCGUUUCUAUGCAUCACAUGAUCUUGCGUGUGCGUAGGAAAUUUUUUGAAAUUACUACGAAACCCAACAGAUGAUCCUACUGAAGAUGUGGAUAUUUGUUUGCCAUCCUCUGAUGAAUAUAAGGUGAAGCUGAAUUUCAAAAGUUUUAGAGAGGAAGACCUGACUAAACCACAGUUUCAAGUUGGCCAGACCUUUGGAUCUGUUGAGUUCCUGAGGAAAGCUAUCAAAGAGUACAGCUGUCAGGAGAGAGUUGACAUUAAAUGCCCUAGAAAUGAUAGGAAAAGACUGAAUGCCAUUUGUGAAGAUGGGUGCCCUUGGACCUUGUCUGCAUCAUUUGAUGGGAGAAUCAACUACUUCAUGAUCAAGAAAUACAACCCAAAGCAUACAUGUAUAAAGAAAUGGUGUGUUAAGUCAUUCACUGCUCCUUUUAUGGCUGGAAAAUAUCUUGAUUCUUUCAGAGCAGAUGAAAACAUGAAUAUGAAUUUUUUUGCAAUGGUGGUUCAGAAAGAUUGGAACAUGACAGCAAUAAAAAGCAAGCUUAGAAGGGCUAAGAGGUUAGUGAAGAAAGUUAUUGAAGGAGAUGAGUUGGAGCAGUACAACGGCAUGUGGGAUUAUGCACAAGAAUUCAGAAGAUCAAACUCAGGGAGUUCUUUCUAUGUGGGUGUCAGUAAUGGCAUAUUUUCAAGUUGUUAUUUCUCUCUUGAUGCCUGCAAGGGUUUGAUGCAAGCUUGUAGGUCUGUCAUUUGUUUGAAUGGAUGCCACCUGAAGACAAAGUAUGGAGGUGUUAUGAUGUGUGUUGUUGGCAUGGAUCCUAAUGACUGCAUUUACCCUAUAGCUUUUGCAGUUGUUGAGGUCGAGAACACUGACACAUGGAAAUGGUUUCUAUCAAAUCUGAAGAGUGACUUGGGAAUUGUAAACACAGACCCACGGACUAUAAUGUCAAACAAGCAAAAGGGCCUGAUCAAGGGAGUGAGGCAGCACUUUCCUGAUGAAGAGCACAGACAUUGUGUUAGGCAUAUAUGGCAGAAUUUUCAGUAAACACACAAAGGAGAUGUUCUUAAAAACCAGUUAUGGAUGUGUGCAAGGAGCACAACACCUGAACUGUGGGCUGCAAGCAUGGAGAAAAUGAAGGUCAUAAGCCUAGAAGCAUACAAGUGACUUGAGCAGCUACCACCCAACACUUGGGUUAGGGGCUUCCAAAGAGAAUUGGUCAAGUGUGAUAUCCUUCUGAACAACAACUGUGAGGUUUUCAACAAAUAUAUUCUUGAGGCUAGGGAGAUGCAUCUCAGAUCAAUGAUUGACAAGAUCAAAACACAGCUCAUGGUCAGGUUCUAUAACAAAAGAAAAUAGGCAGAGGCUCGGCCUGGCUCCAUAUGCCCAAAAAUUAAGAAAAGAAUUGAGAAGAACAUAGAGCUGUCAGCUACAUGCAUGGUUUCAGGGGCUGGUGAUGGCAUCUUUCAGGUUGACAACAGGAACAUGGCAUACAUUGUUGACAUGAAGGAAGAAAGCUGUACAUGCAAAAGGUGGGAUCUUAGUGGAGUUCCAUGUCACCAUGCAAUUGCAUGCUGCAGACAUCAGAGGAUUGAUCCUGAGAGUUUGGUGCACUUCUGUUACAGUAUAGAAGCAUUCAAGCUAGCAUACAAACCCAUUAUCAAGCCUUGAAGAGAUAGGAGUGAGUGGCAGAAGAUGAAUGGCUGUGAGAUCAAGCCACCUGUCUAUAAAAAAAGUAGCGAGGCCUUCAAACAAGAGUAGGAGAAAGCAGCCUUAUGAGAUUGAAAAUAAAGAUGGAACCAAGGUGAUGAGAAGACAUGGAAUCACAAUAACAUGUUCAUACUGCCAUGAAACAGGCCACAACAUCAAAGGAUGUAAUCAAAGAAAGGCUGGCAUUUUGCCAAAUCUAGCAGAGAGAACAACAAGAAGGGGUCCAAGGGCCAUUCCUAAUGAUGUGUCAGAUGAUGAAAUUGUUUUGGCACAAGAAGAUGAUGGCCAAGAUACACAGGAGGAGGUUCAGGUCACACAAGAGGAUGGUCAACUUACACAGGAGGAGGUCCAUGUUGAUGGACAAGUUACACAUGACGAGGCCCAUGUUGAUGGCCAUGAUACACAUGAGGAGGUCAUUGUCACACAAGAUGAUGAGGUCAUUGUCACACAAGAUGAUGGAGCAGAUACACCAAUUGUUUUUUAGGCAAAUUCUCCACUUUUGUCCCUUAAUUUUGACCUCUUUUGUCUAGUCAUUUUUGUUGUACUGAUGUUAUCAUGUGAUGUUUGUUUUGUACAGGUGCAGGACUUUGGAUUUACAAUGCUUCAUAGGAUGCAACAAUCCAGACCUGUUCCUAGAGAAGAAACUGAAACCAUUUUGCCAGAUUCUUCAUUCAUCUCAAAUGCAGCUAGUUCUCACACUAUAGCACAGACAACAACAGCUACAAAUGAAGGCAACCUGACCAUGAAGUUGCUGAAGAUGAAGAGAGACAAAGAAAGACAGAUGGCAGCCAGGAGAGAUGCAGCACUUGAGGCCAUGAAUGAGAUGGCAGAGAAGAAAGCAGAGGAGGCAGAAGCAAAAAGGCAAGAAAUUGCCUGCUCAUUGCCUGCUCCUUCUCAGCCACCAUCUUAGCAAAAUCAAGCUUGAAAUGCCUCAACUCAUUCUCCAUCUUCUUCUUCUCUUCAAGAACCUUCAAGUUUUCUUUAGCACUCACAACAUUCUGUCUGAGCCUCUGUUUUUCUCCUCUUCAUACAUGGUCCAUAUACUAGCUAGGCUCAUCUUCAGAGCAUCAGGCCACUCAGGGUCAACCCACUCAACAUAUCUACAUUUAGGUACCUCCUAACAAUUUAGAACAUACAAAAAAGAGAUUCAGUUAAUUGCCAGUAUUCAGUACUGUGCAUGAUGACGGAACUUAAAACAUACUACAAAUCACUUCCUGUUUAACAGUGCCAAAUGCAAAAAAUUACUAACCUUCUGUGCACAAGCUAGAAACCUUCUGCUAGUAUCAACAGAUUCAAAUGCCACAUGCUUCUCACACAAAGAUCCAUGCCCACAUCUAAAGCUAGGCAGAUCUGUAGCCAAGUCACUCCAUUCCUCACAGGAUAUUGUGGCAGGUGGCUAAACAAAAGAGAGACAUUUGGAAUCAAUUGAGAGAGAAACCCUAGCUGAGAAACCUUAGACUGGAUUUGUGUGAGAUUAAGGAGCACACUAACCUUGCUGGUCAUAGAGUCAUCUUCAGAAGAACUGGGAAGAUCAUCCCAGGACACCAUGGUUGCUGCUAGCUGAAGAUGGGAAGGGGGUCUUGUCGGGAAUAUACCCCACAACGUAAACCAGCCGAAAGUAUAACCCAGCCGGACUUGGCAGUUUAUUUGAGAUCCCGCUGACACUUGGCGAUUUACUGGCGACCCGCCCUGACCUGGCGGUUUACAAGCAACCUGACUAGACAUUAUAACUCACUGGUGACCCGGCGGGUGUGACAGACGGGUGACAAGGCCCAAUACCCAGAGGGCCGGUUUAUAUUAAUGGUGGGUCGGUUUAAGAGGAAAGACGUGAAUAAUAUUACCUUACAGGGAGUUAAAGACCCGGACUUGUAUCCGGUUUGUAUUAGAAGGUAGACUAGUCCUAAUCCUAAUAGGACUCCACAUGUAACCCGCCCCUUCAACAUAUAUAAGGAGGGGCAGGGCUCCCCAAAGAGGGACAAGUAAGAAGCAAUAAUCUCUAGGGCUAGACACAACUAGAGGAGAGCCGUCUUACCGGCGACUCUCUCAUAAGCAUAAUGAGAUCUAGCCACAAACAACAUGUAGGGCUAUUACCGGAUGAUGUUUCCCGGGGCCCGAAGCUGUCUAAAUCUUUGUCUUAUGUGUUGAUCCGCCUCGCGUCUCUCGAUUCGGACCAACCCCUUCAAGCUACCGCAUAGAUGCGUUGGCUUCACGACUAAGUCCUCAUACUAGGACAUCUGCCGUGACAAUUCCACGACAGUUGACGCCCACCAUGGGGCCUGCGCACGGUGGUGUUGAGUUCUUGAAGGGAUCUAUUCCUAGGGUUUUGAGAAGUUUUGCGAAUUAGCCAUAUGAAGAAGAACCGGCACGGAAGAAUCACGCAAGAUGAUCCGGCAUGGGACAUUUUUUGGCAGAGUCGGCGUGUUCAUUGUUUAUGAUCAAAGUUGUGAUUAAUUCUACAUGGCCAGGACAAAAGCUAAGGGCUGUGUACGGCCGCCGGAGGCGCCGUAAUAAUCCACUAGCCAGAUCGUUUUCAUGGAUCGCCGCAAGUUGCCAAUCUGAGACGGUGAAGAAAAUCCCGCUGCAGUAGUCCGAAUACUAUUCUGUAGACCAAAGGAUAUAUAUUUGAUUAAAUACCAAGGCAGUGUUCCGGUUUGACCUACGCGUUGACAUACGCGUGUGUUGUUGCCGCUAAUUAUACUACUCCCAAACCAUAGCUGCUGGUACUACUCCAUGUCAUUGUACAAAAUAAGAAAGAAAGAGCAUGGCCGGAGGGACAGGCGCACACGUCGCUGAUUGCACGUGCGUAUGCUGUAGUUGCAGCAAGAAAAAAAAUUGCGACGGCCGCCGAUGGAUCAUGUGUGUGCACGGCUGCUGCAUCGAUUGAGAGGAUGUUCAAGUGGAUCUAGAAAAAGGAAAUCAAGCCGGCCAUGUACGGAUUGCACUACUAGUACAAUACAAAAUCAUACUGGUGUGCCAUCACAAAAGCCUAAGUGAUUUGCACUGUUGUCGUACUCUUCGAGGACCCGAAGACCAGAUCAGAAAAAAUAUGUAUAUACAAAACUCAGGGGCCAAGGCCGCUACUAAAGCUGUGCGUGCAGACUUUCCGUAGCCUGACUGCUGUCCCGUGUCUCCAUGGCAGUUGCUCUCCAAAGGCUUACUACUAGUGCUAACUAAAAGGUACAAUGGUGCAAUCUCCAAGAAGGACCAUCAUCCAUCACGUGAAGGACUGCUGGAGAAAGGCUCGCACGAGGAUGAUCAAAUUGACUAUGACCUGGAAAACAGACUAGCAGGCAGUCUUGGCUGUUCGCCACCGAGUCGCCGUGAUGACUACAGCCCGGAAAGCAGACUACAGUUGCCUGCCUCUUGAGCCGCCGACCGACAAGUCGUCGCCUGUGCCAGGACAGCCCGCCCUCACCGUGAUCUGCCACGGAUUGCUCCUACUACUGCCAUAGCCCGCCAAGCGCAUCGCACGUUGAGCGGUGUCGGCCUCACUUUGUAUUGAGCCCUUCUACUGCUACUACGCUUCGCCAGCACACAUCAACCCGCCGUUGUGGUGUGAGCCGCCUCUGCCAUGACCUGUAUCACCUCUUUGAGUCGCCGGGACCCUGCGACCCGUAUCGCCGAGACUGAAGAAGUUUCGUGAGCCAUCCCGCGUUAAACCGUCACAUGUUGAACCGCCGCCUGCCCUUGGUACGUCUCCAAUGUAUCUACUUUUCCAAACAUUUUUGCCCUUUUUUUAGACUCUAACUUGCAUGAUUUGAAUGGAACUAACCCGGACUGACGCUGUUUUUAGUAGAAUUACCAUGGUGUUAUUUAUGUGCAGGAUCAAACGUUCUCGGAAUGACCUGAAAUUUCAUGGAGACACUUUUCAGAAAAUAAGAAAAAUACCUGUCAAAGAUGAAGGCCAGGGGGCCCACCACCUUGCCAUGAGGGUGGGGGCGCGCCUGCCCCCUAGGGCGCGCCCCCUACCUCGUGGGCCCCCCUGUUGCGUCUCCGACUCCAACUCCACCUCCAUUUAUUGAGUUUCAAGAGAAAAACAUCAGAGACAAGAAAUCAUCGCGUUUUACGAUACGGAGCUGCCGCCAAGCCCUCAAACCUCUCGGGAGGGCUGAUUUGGAGUCCGUUUGGGGCUCCGGAGAGGGGAAUCCGUCGCCAUCGUCAUCAUAAACAUCCUCCAUCACCAAUUUCAUGAUGCUCAUCACCGUGUGUGAGUAAUUCCAUCGUUGGCUUGCUGGACGAUGAUGGGUUGGAUGGGAUGUAUCAUGUAAUCGAGUUCGUUUUUUAGGGUUUGAUCCCUAGUGUCCACUAUGUUUUGAGAUUGAUGUUGCUAUGACUUUGCGAUGCUUAAUGCUUGUCACUAGGGCCCGAGUGCCAUGAUUUCAGAUCUGAACCUAUUAUGUUUUCAUCAAUAUAUGAGUGUUCUUGAUCCUAUCUUGCAAGUCUAUAGUCACCUAUUAUGUGUUAUGAUCUGUUAACCCCGAAGUGACAAUAAUCGGGAUACUUACCGGUGAUGACCGUAGUUUGAGGAGUUCAUGUAUUCACUAUGUGUUAAUGCUUUGUUCCGGUUCUCCAUUAAAAGGAGGCCUUAAUAUCCCUUAGUUUCCGUAAGGACCCCGCUGCCACAGGAGGGUAGGACAAAAGAUGUCAUGCAAGUUCUUUUCCAUAAGCACGUCUGACUAUAUUCGGAAUACAUGCCUACAUUAUAUCAAUGAACUGGAGCUAGUUCUGUGUCACCCUUGGUUAUGACUGUUACAUGAUGAACCGCAUCCGGCAUAAUUCUCCAUCGCCGAUCCAUUGCCUACGAGCUUUCCAUAUAUUGUUCUUCGCUUAUUUACUUUCCCGUUGCUAUUGCUAUCAUCACUACAAAAUACCAAAAACAUUGCUUUUACUACUGUUGCCUUUUGCUACCAUUAUCACUACUAUCAUAUUACUUUGCUACUAAACACUUUGCUGCAGAUAUUAAGUUUCCAGGUGUGGUUGAAUUGACAACACAACUACUAAUACUUGAGAAUAUUCUUUGGCCCCCCUUGUGUCGAAUCAAUAAAUUUAGGUUGAAUACUCUACCCUCGAAAACUGUUGCAAUCCCCUAUACUUGUGGGUUAUCAAGACCAUUUUAUGGCUCCGUUGCCGGGGAGCAUAGCUCUAUUCUUUGAGUCACUUGAGAUAUAUAUAUGAUUAUCAUUAUGAAGAAUUUGAGAGAUCCAAAAAACCAAGAUCGAUCCCUCAACUACGAGGGGAGGUAAGGAACUGCCAUCUAGCUCUGCACUUGAUUCACCUUCUGUUUUGAGUAAGCUUGCGACACCUACACCUGUUUCUGCUAUUCAUUCUGAUAUGUCGCAUAUUAUUGAUGAUGCCACUUCUGCUAUGCAUGAUACUUAUGAUGAAACUACCUCUAUGCCUGAUACUACUAUGCCACUUAGUGCUUUUCUUGAUGAACAACUUGCUAGGGCUAGAGAAAUUGAAAAUAUUGAAUCUGAUGAUACCGAUGAAAGUGAUGAUGAAGAACCACUUGCUAUUCCUAAGGGUUAUGUAUUUGAUCAAGAUGCUUCUUUAGCUAUUUUAGCUUGCAGAAAUAGAACUGAACUUAAAAAAUUAUUAGCUAAAUGGAGUAAGCAAUCCCUAAAUGAUAGAAUGAAACCUGACCCUGCUUUGGCUACUUCACCUAUCUUUGUUACUGAUAAGGAUUAUGAAUUCUCUGUUGAUCCUGAUAUAAUUACUUUGGCUGAAUCUGAUCCUUUUCACGUUAUAAAUCUGAAACUGUUGUGGCACAUCUUACUAAACUGAAUGAUAUAGCUACCCUGUUCACUAAAGAUGAGAGAACUCGCUACUUUUAUAUCCUUAAAAUAUUUCCGUUCUCAUUAAAGGGUGAUGCUAAGAUAUGGCUUAAUUCUCUUGAUCCUGGUUGUGUGCGUAGUCCCCGGGAUAUGAUUUAUUACUUCUCUGCUAAAUAUUUCCCUGCUCAUAAGAAACAAGCUGCUUUAAGGGAUAUAUAUAAUUUUGUGCAAAUUGAAGAAGAGAGUCUCCCACAAGCUUGGGGGAGGCUUCUCCAAUUACUUAAUGCUUUGCCUGAUCAUCCUCUUAAGAAAAAUGAAAUACUUUAUAUCUUUUAUAAUGGAGUAACCGAUGCCUCCAGAGAUUACCUGGAUAGUUGUGCUGGUUCUGUUUUUAGGGAAAGAACACCGGAUGAAGCUGAAAUUCUAUUGAAUAAUAUGUUGACAAAUGAAAAUAAUUGGACACCUCCGGAGCCAAUUUCUAAGCCUAUUCCUAAACCAACUCUGAAGAAGAGGGGUAUUCUAUUUCUCAGUCCUGAAGAUAUGCAAGAGGCAAAGAAGUCUAUGAAAGAAAAAGGUAUUAAAGCUAAAGAUGUUAAGAAUUUACCUCCUAUUGAAGAAAUACAUGGUCUUAAUUUACCGCCUGUUGAAGAAACAUAUAAUCCAAAUCCUUUACCUAUUGAAGAAACUCAUGGUCUUGAUAACCCGACAUAGGUAGUAAAGGUAAAUUCUCUCUAUAGAUAUGAUAAAGCUAUAAUCCCAUUUACUAAGUUUGCUAGCCCAUGCUUAGAUGAGUUUGAUAAAUUUAUGGCUAAGCAAGAAGAUUUUAAUGCUUAUUUUGGUAGACAACUGAAAUACAAUUCAAAUAUGCUUGGACACUUGGGUGAUUAUAUGGCUAAUGUUAAAACUGAACUUAAACUUAUUAGUAAACAUGCUUCUAUGGUUACCACUCAAGUAGAACAAGUACUUAAAUCUCAAAAUGAUUUGCUCAAUGAAUUGAACAGUAAGAAUAUGAUAAUUCUGUCAGAGUGGCUACUAGAACUGGUAGAAUGACUCGGGAACCUUUGUAUCCUGAAGGCCACCCUAAGAGAAUUGAGCAAUAUUCUCAGAGAAAUAAUAUAGAUGCACCUAGUUCUUCUAAAAAGAAGAAAAAGAAAAAUGAUAGGACUUUGCAUGCUUCUAGUGAUCCUAUUGUUGAAACACCUGAGAAUCCAAAUGAUAUUUCUAUUUAUGAUGCUGAAACACAAUAUGGUAAUGAACCUGAAACUAGUAAUAAUGUUAAUGAUAAUGUUCAUGAUGAUGCUCAACCUAGUAAUGAUAAUGACAUAGAAAUUGAACCCGCUAUUGAUCUUGAUAACCCACAAUCAAAGAAUCAACAUUAUGAUAAGAAAGACUUUGUUGCUAGGAAACAUGGUAAAGAAAGUGAGCCUUGGGUUCAGAAACCAAUGCCUUUUCCUCCCAAACCAUCCAAGACAAAGGAUGAUGAGGAUUUUGAGCGCUUUGCUGAAAUGAUUAGACCUAUCUUUUUGCCUAUGCGAUUAACUGAUAUGCUUAAAACCAAUCCUUAUGCUAAGUACAUGAAAGAUAUUAUUACAAAUAAAAGAAAGAUACCGGAAGAUGAAAUUUCCACCAUGCUUGCUAAUUACACUCUUAAGGGUGGAAUACCAAAGAAACUUGGAGAUCCAGGAGUACCCACUAUACCAUGCUCUAUUAAAAGAAACUAUGUUAAAACUGCUUUAUGUGAUCUUGGAGCCGGUGUUAGUGUUAUGCAUCUCUCUUUAUAUCGUAGACUUGAUUUGAGUAAGUUGACACCUACUGAAAUAUCUUUGCAAAUGGCUGAUAAAUCAACUGCUAUACCUGUCGGUAUUUGUGAGGAUGUGCCUGUUGUAGUUGCAAAUGUUACUAUUCUAACGGACUUUGUUAUUCUUGAUAUUCCCGAGGACGAUAGUAUGUCUAUUAUUCUUGGAAGACCCUUUUUGAAUACUGUAGGGCUGUUAUUGAUUGCACUAAAGGCAAUGUCACUUUUCAUGUUAAUGGUAAUGAGCAUACGGUACACUUUCCGAGGAAAGAACCUCAAGUUCAUAGUAUCAACUCUAUUGGAAAAAUUCCAUCGAUUAUAUUUGGAGGUUUUGAAUUUUCUCUUCCUACUGUCAAGAAGAAAUAUGAUAUUCUUAUUAUUGGGGAGGUGCAUAUCCCCAUUGAGGUAACAUAGUAUUAUUCGAAAUUUCUCCGGUUCCAUGUUAUUCGGAAUGAGUUCGUUAAUAAGAGUGGAUCAACCUUGUUAGUGGAUUCCUUUUGAUGAUCAUGAGAUGGAUGAAACUAGAAGGCACAACCUUCUGUACCCCACUUUUACUUUCUGUUAUUUAUAUUAAAUAAAAUAAAAAUAAAUAUUUGUCUGUCUGUUAUCUGAUUAUCCGUGCAAUAUAAAAAUACCUCGAAAAUAAAAGUUCUCCAAAUGCCCUAAAAAUUAAAUAUGAUUUUUUCUAGAAUAUUUGAGGAUUUAUGGAACUGAUUACACACCAGGGGGGUCAACCACCAUGCCACGAGGAUGGAGGGCGCGCCCCCUGCCUCGUGGGCCCACGGUGGCCCUCCUCCACUUAUUCCUGCACCCACACACUUCAUCUUCCUCCCGCAAACACGAAUAACCAGCUCAAGCACGAGUUCUAGCUAAUCUUGCUGCCAUUUUCGAUCUCCUUGCUCAAAGCACCUCUUACAAAACUGCUUGGGGAGAUUGUUCCUUGGUAUGUGACUCCUCCAUUGGUCCAAUUAGUUUUUGUUCUAGUGCUUUAUUCAUUGCAAAUUUUUGCUGCUUAGGUGACCCUGUUCUUGAGCUUGUAUGUCAAAUUUAUAUGGUCAAAAGUAGUUUUGAUGCAUGAUAUAGGCCCUAGGCACUUGUAGGAGUAGUUACUAUCAAUUAUAUUGAGUUUGGUUUAUGUUUAUUUUGAAGUUACUAAAAAUUUCAGAAUUUUGCAGAAAAUGAUGAGGAGACUUUUGAGGGGCUCAUCGAGCCAAAGCUCGAAGGAAAAGGCACCAAAGCCUAAGUAUAAUCUGCCUCGCACCGCGGAGGUUCGGGCGUGUGAAUGGCCUUCCGAGGAUUUCUUGAGAGCAACUGAGAUUUAUGAAGAUUUUCAUGAAUUGGCUCAGACUGCAGGCCUUACCGCUUUCCUCCACGACCAAUGCGAUUAGUAUCUCUUGCUCACAAAUACCUUUGUGCAAAACUUUCAUUCUCAUUCUAGGAACUCACCACCUACGGUGGCAUUUCAUUGAUAUGAUGAGCAUAAGGAGAUGUCACUUUAUGAUUUUUGUCGGAUCUGUUUAGUCCCUUUUGGGGGCAAGACAGAAGAACCACAUUGUGAUGAUGUGGAGGGAUUUAUUGACACUAUCACUGUAGGGGAAACAAGGAAGGUUUCCGGUGCCUGAAUCACUAGCAUACAUUUUCCUAUUUUGCGCUACUUUGCAUUAUUUGCUAGUCGUUGCUUAAUUGGUCGCGGAAACUGUGGAAACUUGAGUAUCCCUGAUAUUAUUAUUUUGCACCACGGUUUAUACAGUGAUAACUCUUUUAGUAUGGGCAGCAUUAUUGCCAAACGGUUAAGUUUGAACCGUACCAAGGGCCCCAUCUUUGGAGGCAUCUAUGCUACACGCCUAGCUGCACAUUUUAACAUACCUAUUAGGCAUGCUGGGAAGGAAGAAAAAGUGUUGCCCCGUGUUUGUCUAGAUUAUAAAAGUAUGGUAGCACAUGAUUUUAUUGUUAAGAAUAGGGAAUGAGAGCUUAAAUAUCAAUUGUUCUUUAAUAAACAUCAUCCUAAGACUAUUACCUUGCCUGCUCCUUCUUUGUUUGAUUUGACUGCUGGCACGUACCUUGUUCCGUUGACGGCUAUCCACGCCUACCGGAACCCUGCACCAGCCGAGGAGCUAGAGCCGGAACCACAACUUGAUCCUUCACGACAGUUUAAUUACCAGUGGGAUCCGGAGAUGAUUGUCAGCCAGUGGCAAUCUGAGCCUUCUUCUUCCUCAUCAUAGUACGACCCCAACAACUAAUAUUAUGGAUAUCCGCCAGGCCAGCCGUGGCCAUAGACCAACUUAGGCCAAAAGCCUAAGCUUGGGGGAGUACGUAUUUCUCACCGACAUUACAUUUAUGCUCACACACUCAUUGCUGAAUGUCGGUGCUCAUACUUUUUCAUUGUAUCAUCCAUGCUAGUUUAUUUUCCUUUUUUAUGCUUUCUUCUUGUGUGUUUAAUAAACCUUAAAAAACCCAAAAAAUUAGUUGUAGCUUUUAAUUAGUUUACUUUCCAUGCUUGUAGUAGUAAUUAAAAAGGAAACCAAAAAAGAUUUCCUGUUCUUCUUUUGCUUGUUGGGUGCUUUCCCGUGUAAAUAGUUUUAUUUCUUUUCUUUUCUUUGGGGGUCGAUAGGAGAAGACCAUAAUUAAAUUGUUGAGGUGGCUCUUAUAUGCAUUAUUGUUGAUCUGACAAAAGAGCCCAUAUUGCCUUGUCUUCUCCUGUUUAUUGAAUGCCUGCAGAUUCCAACUUAGUCCAAUGCACGUGCACUAUUAUUAUUAUUCACAUCGUUCGGUCGUGCAAGUGAAGGGCAAUUAUGAUGAUAUAUGAUGGACUGGCUGAGAUGAGAAAAGCUGGUAUGAACUCGACCUCUUUUGUUUUUGUAAAUAUGAUUAGUUUAUCGUUCCUGAUUCAUCCUAUUAUGAAUGAACAUGUCUGCAAUGACAACUACAGAUCAUAGUUUCUUGUGCCAUGGUUGAUUAGCUAUGAGUUAUAAUGGUUUACCUUGCGUGCCAACAUGCUAUUGAGAUGGUUAUGAUGUGGUAUGAUAGGGUGGUAUCCUCCUCUGAAUGAUUUAAUUGACUUGACUUGGCACAUGUUCACGCAUGUAGUUGAAACAAAAUCAACAUAGCCUUCACGAUAUUUAUGUUCAUGGUGGAUUAUAUCCUACUCAUGCUUGCAUUCAGUGUUGAUUAAUUUUAAUGCAUGUUCAUGACUGUUGUCGCUCUCUAGCUGGCCGCUUCCCAGUCUUUUGCUAGCCUUCACCUGUACUAAGCGGGAAUACUGCUUGUGCAUCCAAACUCCUUAAACCCCAAAGUUAUUCCACAUGAGUCCACUAUACCUACCUAUAUACGGUAUCUACCUGUCGUUCCAAGUAAAUUUGUAUGUGCCAAACUCUAAACCUUCAAAUAAAUAUCAUGUUUUGUAUGCUCGAAUAGCUCAUGUAUCAACUAUGGUUGUCUGUAUCUUCCAUGUUAGGUGGGUUAUUCUCAAGAGGAGUGGACUCCGCUCCUCAUUCACGAGAUAAAUGUGUAACACCCACGAUGCGGCUAUAUCUCCCACGUGUUGGAGCACGACUUAGAGGCAUAACCGCAUUGUAGGUAUGUCGCAAGAGGGGUAAUCUUUACACAUCCCAUGUACUGAAUAAGAAAGAGGUACAGAGUUGGCUUACAAUCGCCACUUCACACAAUCCAUAAAUAUAGCAUUACAACAUCCAGAAUACAAUCAAGGUCCGACUACGGAAUCAAAAUAAAAGAAGACUACCCCUAAUGCAAAAGAUCCCCGAUCGCCCCGACUGGGCUCCACUACUGAUCAACUGGAAACACAACAACACAACGAACACGAUCUUCAUCGAGCUCCUCCUUGAGCUCGGUUGCGUCACCUGCAUGGUUUCAUCGGCACCUGCAAACUGGUUUUGGAAGUAAUCUGUGAGUCACGGGGACUCAGCAAUCUCACACCCUCGCGAUCAAGACUAUUUAAGCUUAUGGGUAGGAAAAGGUAUGAGGUGGAGCUGCAGCAAGCACUAGCAUAUAUGGUGGCUAACUUACGCAAAUGAGAGCGAGAAGAGAAGGCAAAGCACGGUCGUGAACUAGAAGUGAUCAAGAAGUGAUCCUGAAACUACUUACGUUCAAGCAUAACUCCAACACCGUGUUCACUUCCCGGACCCCGCCGAGAAGAGACCAUCACGGCUACAAACGCAGCUGCAUUUUAAUUAAGUUAAGUGUCGAGUUCUCUACAACCGGACAUUUAACAAAUUCCCAUCUGCCCAUAACCGCGGGCACGGCUUUCGAAAGUUCAGAACCCUGCAGGGGUGUCCCAACUUAGCCCAUCACAAGCUCUCACGGUCAACGAAGGAUAUUCCUUCUCCCAGGAAGACCCGAUCAGACUCGGAGUCCCGGUUACAAGACAUUUCGACAAUGGUAAAACAAGACCAGCAAGACCACCCACUGUGCCGACAAAUCUCGAUAGGAGCUGCACAUAUCUCGUUCUCAGGGCACACCGGAUAAGCUAAACAUACAUGAGCCAACGUAACCCAAGUUGCCAAGGGACAUCCCUGCACGGUGCUCUAGUUUGGACCAACACUCAGAGGAGCACUGGCCCGGGCGUUUAAAAUAAAGAUGACCCUUGAGUCUGUAGAACCCAAGGGAAAAAGGCUUAGGUGGCAAAUGGUAAAACCAAGGUCGGGCCUUGCUGGAGGAGUUUUAUUCAAGACGAACUAUCAAGGGGUUCCCAUUAUAAUCCAACCGUGUAAGGAACGCAAAAUCAGGGAACACAACAUCGGUAUGACGGAAACUAGGGCGCCAAGAGUGGAACAAAACACCAGGCAUAAGGCCGAGCCUUCCACCCUUUACCAAGUAUAUAGAUGCAUUAAUUAAAUAAGAGGUAUUGUGAUAUCCCAACAAAACCAUGUUCCAACAUGGAACAAACUCCAACUUCACCUGCAACUAGCAACGCUAUAAGAGGGGCUAAGCAAAGCGGUAACAUAGCCAAACAACGGUUUGCUAGGACAAGGUGGGUUAGAGGCUUGACAUGGAAAUAUGUGAGGCAUGAUAUAGCAAGUGGUAGAUAUCGCGACAUAGGCAUAGCAAGAGAGCGAGCAACUAGCAAGAAAAGAUAGAAGUGAUUUCGAGGGUAUGGUCAUCUUGCCUGAGAUCCCGCAAGGAAGAAGAACGAGUCCAUGAAGGAGACAAACGGGCGUAGUCGAACGGAUCCUCACAACUCCGGAACAAAACCGAAGCUAACGCGAGAAGUAACACGGAAAGAAGUAAACAACAUAGUAAACAACCAUCACAUAAUCAUGGCAUGAUGCACAACCAAAUAUGAUGCAUGUCCGGUUUAAAGAGGCAUGGCAUUGGCAAAAUGCACAAACAAUCCUACAAAUUAAGUGGAGCUCCAUAUGUAAUGAGUUGCAUAUUGAUGGAACACCACGUGGCUUAUUUAGUUCUCUCUCGUUUAUGUACCCAACAAUAUUAAAUGUUGGUUAGCAUGGCAAGGGUGAAGCAAAAUAAAACUACCUAUCUAGGCAAGUUUAAAUGAGGCCGGAACAACAAACAACAAGUCCGGAAACUCCUCAUGUGCAUAUUUUAGGUUUGGUAUUGUUCGGCCCUAAACAUAAUUUUAGAGUUGUUAAACAUGCAAAGUGAUGCCACCAUGUUAAACUAGGCAUUUUUCCACCCCAUUUACAUAUAAAGCUUAUUAGAUUUGGAGCUACGGUUAAUUAGUUAUGAAUUAAAUCAUUUUAACAUGGCAUAGGGGCAAAUUUAAACAAACAACAAUUUAAUCAUUUUAAACAUAGAUGAAAGUUGAUAAUUAUGAAACUAGAUAAAAUUCUAAGCAUUUUUCAUAUAUAAUUUAUUGUAAUCCGAUGCAUGGUUUGUGAGAUGUUAAAUGCAUGAACAUGGAGAGUUUUUCCGUAGAAACUAAUGUCUCUGGAAUAAAAGACAAACUCACAGAUCUGAAAAAAAUAUACACUAGGCUGAAUCUGGCCGGCCCAAAGUGCAUAGGAGCGGGGGCUACUCACAUUGGGCCUACAGGGGCGCGGCAGAUCUGGGCCUCGGCCUGGUUUGGAGGCGCGCUAGGGAGCUGGGCUUGGCGGGGCGCUGGGCCUCGCGCGACGGAGGGGAGCAGCUGGGCCUGGGCGUGGUCAAUGCACGCAGGCGACGCGCGGUCAUUCUCCUCACUCGAAUGAUGAUGACGCAGAGGACAGGGGCGAUGCAGGGGAAGCAGAGGCGCGGAACUUGGGGACGAGCGCUCCAGCGAGGGACUUGGUGAAGGCAGCGGCGAGGAGAAGGACUCCGGCGAGGACAUGUGCGAGCUCGGGCAACAGAUCAACGAGACUUGGGUCUCAGAGCAGCAGGGCGGAAGCCAUCCAUGGCGUCGGGCAGGGAGGCCCACGGGUGGCGAAGACGACGAGUGGACCAGGCGCUGCUGCACUGGCGCGGCGCGCGAGGCUAAGGCCACAUGAAGGAACAGAUCAGGCGCUGUACGAAGCACCAAGGGGCGGCCAUUGCGUGGAGCUCCUGGCUCCUGCGGGGCAGAGAGAAAAACUAAGAGAAAGAGAGAGAUGCAGGGACGAAAAUAAGAGGAAAGGGAGGAGAGGCGAUGAGGCCUGCUGGGAGUGGUUUCCGGGGGUAGCGGGGUCGCGAGGAGGUCGGAGGCGACAAGGGCGUGGACGAAGGAGCUCGGGCUGCAGGAGAGUCUUGUUGGUGUUGCUGUUCGUCGCCGACGGGGAGGCAUGGCUGGCUGCGCGAGAGCUCGAGGUCGGGGUUCGAACGAUGGUUGGUUGGGCUUGCAAAACGGGGAGGUGGAUGGAGGGUGGAUCAACUGGAUGGAUGGAUCGAGGGGAUGGCUGGCUACGAGAUGGAUCUGGGAAGAUCCCGAGGUGGAAGAGGAGUGGGUAGUUGGCUGGUGCCGACGACGGGAGGGAUGGGACAACUCUCCUCGAAUUUAGGGUUGGGUCACUAUUUAUAGCAAAUGGAUUUAGGUUACGGCUACCUCAUCCCUCCGGUCGUAAUCGGGCGGUCACGAAAAAUAUGUUAGGAAGUCUAAUUAACAAAACGGAGAUGUUUUGUAGAUGUUUGGGGAUGAUUCGGACCCAACGGUGACGACUGUCCGGGUCGGGUCCGGGACAACUCUCGGACGCGCGCGCGAGGAGGGCCGCGGGCUGACGAGAGAGCUUAGGCUAGGCCUGGCGAUGGGUAGCGGAUUGUGCAGAUGGUCUCGAUCCUGAGAGAAGAGAAGAGAGAGAGGUCCGGCGACUGUUUUCGGAGACCAAAAACGUCCGACGAAAAGACCGGCUAUGUUGCCGCUAUAGUUAACCGUUGGGGCGUCAGACGGACUCAGAACGCGAUGAAACUUGGCAGGCGACCUACUACUAUAACAACACUGCAUGCCAACUUUCAACCCAAUCCGAGAACAUUUUUCGGCCACUUAUAAAAUACUAUUUUGGACGUGCCGCGGGCGCGUCCAAGUGUGUCUGGGCUCAGAACGGACAACGAAAGGAACUGGGAGACCUGAGCUAAUGCAAGUUUUGAAAACAUGAUGAUGCAAUGCACAUGAUGACAUGGCAAGAUGCAACACUCAAGCGAAAGACACGGCAACAAACAACGAAUAACUAGAAGACAGCUGGUGCAUCGGACUCGGGGCGUCACAACACGCCACCACUACGAGAGGAUCUCGUCCCGAGAUCUAGAAUGGCACCGGAGGGUAGGGCUGGACCAAAAGCUCAUAACUCGUGAGAUUAAUGAGCGCUCGAUAGUUCAGCUCAUUAAGCUCGUAGCUCGCUUCUUAAUGAACAGAGCCAAUCAUUGAUUUUAACUCGUUAAGCUUAAUGACCUUAACGAGCGAGCUAACGAGUUUCACGACUAGCUCGUUAAGCUCGUUAGUAACAACACAACACAUAUUUUCAUUUUACGUGACAAACUUUUAUAGCACCUUAGCCCAUCUAUUCAAUCUAAUCGACCUAUGAGACAACAAACUACUGCAUUUCUUUUUAUAGUCAUCAUAUUUCGUCUUGAAAACCACACCUACACAUUCAUCCUGUAUAUCGUAAAACAUUAUAAUCUGUUAACGAGCGCUCACGAGCUUAACGAGUUUCAAAUGAGCCGAGCCGAGCAGGGUUUUCUGCUCAUUAAUCUUAACGAGCUUAACGAGCCGAGCCUUAACGAGCACGAGCUUAACGAGUACGAGCUUAACGAGCCGAGCUGCUCGUUAGUCCACCCCUACCGGAGGGUAACGGAAGAGGAAGAGAAGAGGUAAAACUAAGUUGCUUCUUUGACAAACGAGUGAAACCAAAGAACCUUGAAAAGUUGAAUAACUUGAAAGGAAUAAUACCACGGAGGUGAUCAAAGUUGAAAAACACUCCGUUAGGAAUGAGGAACAAGGAAGAACAAAUUCGGACAGCACUCCGUUUGAAAAGUGAUAUGAAACUUGAUAAGAUGAAAAGAACUUGAGAAGAGGGCACAACACUUCGGUUAAAAGAAUAAGCACGAAAAGAACACGAUCCUGACAAAACAAGAAGAUGGGUUGAAGAGAGCAACAUCACAAUGCCUCCGGAAGAAAGAAAUAGAAGAUAGAUAAUUGAAAAAAAAAGAAUGGAGAAGAAAAUGCCAUCUUCUACCACAAAGGAGCUUGAAAAGGCAUCCUUAGGAGAAGGGUCGAACGGAGUUGUUGGAAAACCAACAACGAAUUGUGGGCUUAUGAAAAACAUCUCAAAAUUUUGAGGUGACAACCUGCCACUCACGGGAAAAGAUUGAAUUAACAUCAACAAGGAGAUGAGAAGCUUAUUUCACCGGGAGGGUAAAUGAAGAACUUUGGUCAUUUAUGAGCACCAAAAUUCGUGACAAUCCUUAGGGAAAGCUUUAGGUGAAAUAUAACUCAAGAUAACUCCACAUAAGAGAUUGAUGGGUUGCAAGGAUCUCAUGACCAAAUUGAAAAAGAUGGGUUUAAAAUAUCCCAUUCUUUGUGAAUGACGAAUUAUAUAUUACCACCUCAAAAGAUAAGGGAGAACAAAUGCACUUUGGAUUGCAAGAUGAAGAAUGCUUGAGCUCCUCUGAAAAGAAUCUCGAUGAACACUUCGAGAAGGAAUUAAAUCCUUGAUGAACCACCAUGUAGAACCUCCAUGAAGAACUCCGGUAAACAAAAGGAUGAUCAAAUGAAAGGAAUAAGGAGUUGAAAACACAAGGUGAAGCCUUGCGAUGAUUUAGGUGAAUCUCCGUGGUGAUAUAAUUGAGAGAUCUUGGAACUCCGGGAAAAGAAAAGAUGAAACAAAUGAAACCGAGAAUUUUGAUGAACCUCCGGAAUAAGGAAUUAAUCACUUGGAUGAAACAAUAAUAAGAAUUACGGUAUGCGUAUCCUUCACCAAUUUAAAUUGAUUUCAAGUAGUGGAUUUGGCAUACUACUUAUUCUCGUGGAAAGGAUUAAAGAGAGGUAUAGCUUAAGCUUGAGAAGGUCUUCAAUGAUCCACCAGUAGAAUUUGGAAAGCACGAAUGCAUUGAUAUGAUAAACGAAGGAAGAAGAAACUUGGAAGAACCACCAUAAGAAUUGAACAUGAAAAUAGCAAAAGCAAAAAUUCACCGGGAAGAAUUGGAAAAUGAAUGACGAUACUUGAAGGAAUUUAGAUACAAGAGAAUGAAUAGAUCACGAGCUGAUUAGAGGAUAUUUGAGCGAUGCACCGGUAAGAUUAGGAGAACGAUACCUGAAAGCUGGGAAUGAAUAAACCGAAAUGAUGGCCUUCGGAGAAUCAAACUGAAAGACUAUUGAAAUGCUCCGGAUGGGUGAAAAGAAUUCUCACAAUCGAAAAUAAUUAUGAGAGGAUGGCACGAAGCUAGAGCCAUGAAUCAUUGAACGAAUGGAUAAGAUUUGGAGGAAAAACUCUUCUUCGGUCUUCAAAUCCGAGAAUGUCGACGAGAAACACCACCAUGAAUUGUUGAGACACUCCAGAAUAAUGAAGAAUAGAAAGGUUGAAACAACAAUGAAAAGAAUUUGAAAGAUCUUGGAGAAAGGCACUUGACUGAUGAAAAUUCAUUCUUACAUCAUACUUUGAAAGAUUUGAGAAUAGCUCCGAUAAAAUAAGAAGAGUCAGGUAAGAUCCUGGGAAAAGACCUGUGGGUUAGGGCCCACUCAAAAGAAACACCGUUAAACGAUUACUUGAAAGAUAUUGCACCGAUUGAUUUAAAUGGCUUGAAUGAGAUACCAAUCUCGAAAGAGCUUGAACGAAAGCAGAGUGGAAAACACGAAUCUUUGAGAUAUCUUGAACACUCCGGAACAAUAGAAUAGCGAGCGUGGAAUGAUUAUGAGGUGCACCGUUCAUGGGAAAGCAUUUGAAACAAGGAAAAAAAUAUGAUCAACACUAAAAAAUUGCAUUGAAAACACCGGGAAAGAUAAGAGAAGCAAAGAAUGAUAAACUUGAAGCUUCCUUUAUCAUCUUCAUGAGAAUCACCGGAUAAGAACAUGAAGGAAAAGAAUGGAGACACUUCCACCGAUGAAAUGGAUACUUGAUUAAGAAAUUUGAGUCCUUGAAGAAACAAGGGUGGGAGGGAGGGACAACAAAGACAACUUGGGAUGGAUGAAACGAACACCGUUGAGAAAACUGAGAUUGGAUCUUGCGGAUGUUUAAAAUGAACGGAUCCACUUGAAGAGAGACACGCCGGUUGAAAAGGAUUGACAUCACAAUCUCGAUUAUCAUGAAGGAUCAGUAUUCACAUAGAAAUAUGAGAACAUCACUUAGGAAAGGUAUGGAAUCAACAUUUGACUUCGAAGCAACUCGAAUACCACAACUGAAAAUAAGAACAAAGGAUUGGCUUGCAAAAUAAGCUGGAACAAACAUACGAUAGAGAUUUCGUCUGAAGUUUUCGUGGUGGGGCCCACACGGCUCGAUCAUACAACACCAUCAUGUACAAGGCAGUGCACAUGACAUACGAAGCGUCCCCGAGUCAGCAUAGCCAAGGACUCUUUAAGAAACAACAAGACCACUAUAAAACCAACCGUGGAUAGGCGGACCACUAGACGUCAAACCCCAAUUUCAUAUCAUACAUCUAUCAGAAAGAUAUCCUACGAUAUACUUGAAUUCCCACUUAUAAACUCCCGAAACUUUCCGGUUAUGCAAUCAGGUGUUGGGGAUACAGGGGAAGCAUAAUAUCUCACCCAAAACUAACAAAUCCUACAUCCAGCUGUAUCCAUCCUUCAACAGAUAACCAAGAAACCUUCGGAAAUCAUUUACCUCAACCUUCGAAAAGCAUAUGUUAUACGAGUUAUGGCAAUACUCCCGAACUCCCACCCCAGUACUGGGUGGCAUCGAGGUUAUCUCACCAACAACUGCAUAAAAGAGAUUUUCGAUGUCGGCAAAACUCAGGUAUUCCAGAACUGCAACGAUAAAAUUGUGACUACAACACCUCAGAGCUCAACUCCCCGGGACACUGCCACAACCCCUAAAUGUCAGGGGGCACCAAGAACAAUGUUCUCGUCACAAAACCAUCGAAACGAUUCCAAGAUACCCGCGUGAUCCUAAAUUUUUUUUGUGAAAUUUGAGAAGAGAAGAGUCAAAACUCUACGUCAGGAUGCCUCACCAGAGUGACGAAGGGACUGAGGAAUAAAAGAAUCCUACUCUCCGAUAUAUAUAAUCCUAUAAGACUCGAAACAUUUUUAUAGACUCAACAAUGCCAGCGAUUCGAUCUAGCAGGGGGCUCCUAAGUCGGGGUAGGCUCUGAUUACCAACUUGUAACACCCACGAUGCGGCUAUAUCUCCCACGUGUCGGAGCACGACUUAGAGGCAUAACCGCAUUGUAGGCAUGUCGCAAGAGGGGUAAUCUUUACACAUCCCAUGUACUGAAUAAGAAAGAGGUACAGAGUUGGCUUACAAUCGCCACUUCACACAAUCCAUAAAUAUAGCAUUACAACAUCUAGAAUACAAUCAAGGUCCGACUAUGGAACCAAAAUAAAAGAAGACUACCCCUAAUGCAAAAGAUCCCCGAUCGCCCCGACUGGGCUCCACUACUGAUCAACUGGAAACGGAACAACACAACGAACACGAUCUUCAUCGAGCUCCUCCUCGAGCUCGGUUGUGUCACCUGCACAGUUUCAUCGGCACCUGUAAACUGGUUUUGGAAGUAAUCUGUGAGUCACGGGGACUCAGCAAUCUCACACCCUCGCAAUCAAGACUAUUUAAGCUAAUGGGUAGGAAAAGGUAUGAGGUGGAGCUGCAGCAAGCACUAGCAUAUAUGGUGGCUAACUUACGCAAAUGAGAGCGAGAAGAGAAGGCAAAGCACGGUCGUGAACUAGAAGUGAUCCUGAAACUACUUACGUUCAAGCAUAACUCCAACACCGUGUUCACUUCCCGGACCCCGCCGAGAAGAGACCAUCAUGGCUACACACGCGGUUGAUGCAUUUUAAUUAAGUUAAGUGUCGAGUUCUCUAAAACCAGACAUUUAACAAGUUCCCAUCUGCCCAUAACCGCGGGAACGGCUUUUGAAAGUUCAAAACCCUGCAGGGGUGUCCCAACUUAGCCCAUCACAAGCUCUCACGGUCAACGAAGGAUAUUCCUUCUCCCAGGAAGACCCGAUCAUACUCGGAAUCCCAGUUACAAGACAUUUCGACAAUGGUAAAAACAAGACCAGCAAGACCACCCGUUGUGCCGACAAAUCCCGAUAGGAGCUGCACAUAUCUCGUUCUCAGGGCACACCGGAUAAGCUAAGCAUACAUGAGCCAACGUAACCCAAGUUGCCAAGGGACGGCCCUGCACGGUGCUCUAGUUUGGACCAAUACUUAGAGGAGCACUGGCCCAGGGGUUUAAAAUAAAGAUGACCCUUGAGUCUGCAGAACCCAAGGGAAAAAGGCUUAGGUGGCAAAUGGUAAAACCAAGGUCGGGCCUUGCUGGAGGAGUUUGAUUCAAGGCGAACUAUCAAGGGGUUCCCAUUAUAAGCCAACCAUGUAAGGAACACAAAAUCAAGGAACAUAACACCGGUAUGACGGAAACUAGGGCGGCAAGAGUGGAACAAAACACCAGGCAUAAGGCCGAGCCUUCCACCCUUUACCAAGUAUAUAGAUGCAUUAAUUAAAUAAGAUAUAUUGUGAUAUCCCAACAAAACCAUGUUCCAACAUGGAACAAACUCCAACUUCACCUGCAACUAGCAACGCUAUAAGAGGGGCUGAGCAAAGCGGUAACAUAGCCAAACAACGGUAUGCUAGGAGAAGGUGGGUUAGAGGCUUGACAUGGCAAUAUGGGAGGCAUGAUAUAGCAAGUGGUAGGUAUCGCGGCAUAGCAAAAGAGCGAACAACUAGCAAGCAAAGAUAGAAGUGAUUUCGAGGGUAUGGUCAUCGUGCCUGAGAUCCCGCAAGGAAGAAGAACUAGUCCAUAAAGGAGACAAACAGGCGUAGUCGAACGGAUCCUCAGAACUCCAGAACGAAACCGAAGCUAACGCGAGAAGUAACCCGGAAAGAAGUAAACAACAUAGUAAACAACCAUCACAUAAUCAUGGCAUGAUGCAUAACCAAAUAUGAUGCAUGUCCGGUUUAAAGAGGCAUGGCAUGGCAAAAUGCACAAACAAUCCUACAAAUUAAGUGGAGCUCAAUAUGCAACGAGUUGCAUAUUGACGGAACACCACGUGGCUUAUUUAGUUCUCUCUCGUUUAUGUACUCAACAAUAUUAAAUGUUGGUUAGCAUGGCAAGGGUGAAGCAAAAUAAAACUACCUAUCUAGGCAAGUUUGAAUGAGGCCGAAACAACAAACAACAAGUCCGGAAACUCCUCAUGUGCAUAUUUUAGGUUUGGUACUGUUCGUCCCUAAACAUAAUUUUAGAGUUGUUAAACAUGCAAGUGAUGCCACCAUGUUAAACUAGGCAUUUUUCCACCCCAUUUACAUAUAAAGCUUAUUAGAUUUGGAGCUACGGUUAAUUAGUUAUGAAUUAAAUCAUUUUAACAUGGCAUAGGGGCAAAUUUAAACAAACAGCAAUUUAAUCAUUUUAAACAUAGAUGAAAGUUGAAAAUUAUGAAACUAGAUAAAAUUCUAAUCAUUUUUCAUAUAUAAUUUAUUUUAAUCCGAUGCACGGUUUGUGAGAUGUUAAAUGCAUGAACAUGUAGGGUUUUUCUAUAAAAACUGAUGUCUCUGGAAUAAAAGACAAACUCGUAGAUCUGAAAAAAAUAUACACUGGGCCGAAUCUGGCCGGCCCAAAGUGCAUAGGAGCGGGGGCUACUCACAUUGGGCCUACAGGGGCGUGGCAGAUCUGUGCCUCGGCCUGGUUUGGAGGCGCGCUAGGGAGCUGGGCUUGGUGGGGCGCUGGGCCUCGCGCGACGGAGGGGAGCAGCUGGGCCUGGGCGCGGUUAACACACGCAGGCGACGCGCGGUCGUUCUCCUCGCUCGAACGAUGACGACCAGAAGACAAGGGGCGAUGCAGGGGAAGCAAAUGCGCGGAACUUGGGGACGAGCGCUCCAGCGAGGGACUUGACGAAGGUAGCGGCGAGGAGAAGAACUCCGGCGAGGACAUGUGCGAGAUCGGGCUACAGAUCGAUGGGACUUGGGUCUCAGAGCAGCGGCGCGGCAGCCAUCCAUGGCGUUGGGCAGGGAGGCCCACAGGCGGCGAAGACGGCAAGUGGACAAGGCGCUGCUGUGCUAGCACGGUGCGCGAGGCUGAGUCCACAUGAAGGAACAGGUCAGGCACUGUACGAAGCACCAAGGGGUGGCCAUGGCGUGGAGCUCCUGGCUCCUACGGGGCAGAGAGAAAAACUAAGAGAAAGAGAGAGAGAGAUGCAGGGACGAAAAAGAGAGGAAAGGGAGGAGAGGCGAUGAGGCCUGCUGGGAGUGGUUGCCGGGGGCAGCGAGGUCGCGAGGAGGUCGGAGGCGACAAGGGCGUGGACGAAGGAGCUCGGGCUGCAGGAGAGUCUUGUUGGUGUUGCUGUUCGUCGCCGGCGGGGAGGCAUGGCUGGCUGCGCGAGAGCUCGAGGUCUGGGUUCGAACGAUGGUUGGCUGGGUUUGCAAAACGAGGAGGUGGAUGGAGGGUGGAUUGACUGGAUGGAUGGAUCGAGGGGAUGGCUGGCUACGAGAUGGAUCUAGGAAGAUCCCGAGGUGGAAGAGGAGUGGGUAGUUGGCUGGUGGCGGCGACGGGAGGGAUGGGACAACUCUCCUCGAAUUUAGGGUUGGGUCAUUAUUUAUAGUAGAUGGAUUUCGGUUAGGGUUACCUCGUCCCUCCGAUCGUAAUCGAGCGGUCGAGAAAAAUAUGUUAGGAAGUCCAAUUAACAAAACGGAGACGUUUUGUAGAUGUUUCGGGAUGAUCCGGACCCAACGGUGACGACUGUCCGGGUCAGGUCCGGGACAGGUCUCGGACGCGCGCGCGAGGAGGGCCUCGGGCUGACGAGAGAUCUUAGGCUAGGCCUGGCGGUGGGUAGCGGACUGUGCAUAUGGUCUCGAUCCUGAGAGAAGAGAAGAGAGAGAGGUCCGGUGACUGCUUCCGGAGACCGAAAACGUCCGACGAAAAGACCGGCUAUGCUGCCGCUAUAGUUAACUGUUGGGGCGUCAAACGGACUCAGAACGUGAUGAAACUUGGCAGGCGACCUACUACUAUAACAACACCGCAUGCCAACUUUCAACCUAAUCCGAGAACAUUUUUCGGCCACUUAUAAAAUACUAUUUUGGACGUGCCGUAGGCGCGUCCAAGUCUGUCUGGGCUCAGAACGGACAACGGAAGGAACUGGGAGACCCGGGCUAAUGCAAGUUUUGAAGACAUGAUGAUGCAAUGCACAUGAUGACAUGGCAAUAUGCAACACUCAAGCGAAUGACACGGUAACAAACAACGAAUAACUGGAAGACAGCUGGCGCACUGGACUAGGGGCGUCACAAAAUGGCUGGUCACCGGGAUGCCCAGUCCCAUGCUUUAUGCAAACUAAAUCAAAAUAAUUGCAAACAAAACUCCCCCUGGGACUCUUGUUAGUUGGAGGAACUCGUUGUUUCGAGCAAGCCAUGGAUUGAUGCUUGUGGUGGAAGGGGGAGCAUAAACUUUACCAUUCUAUUUAGGAACCGCCUAUAAUGUGUGUAGCAUGGAAGAUAUCGCCAUCUCUUGGUUGUUAUGUUGACAAUGAAAGUCUACCGCUCAAAAUAUUAUUCACCUUUGUUUCAAAACCGAGCUCUGACACCUCUAUAAAUCCCUGCUUCCCUCUAUUAAGGGCCUAUCUAUUUACUUUUAUGCCGAGUCAUCAUCCUCUUAUUAAAAAGAACCAGUUGGAGAGCACCGCUGUCAUUUGCAUUCAUUAUUGUUAGUUUACAUUGAGUAUGACUUGAUUGGAUCUCUUUUACCAUGAAUUACAAUGUCUAGUCAGUCCUUGGUCUUUAAAGGUGCUCUACAUUUAUGUUUUGCUGUCUCAGAAAGGGCUAGCGAAAUACCACCUUGCUAUAUCAUAUUAUGAUUGUUUUGAGAAAGUGUUGUCAUCCGAGUUUUAUUAUUAUGGCUCGCUAGUCGAUUAUGCUAUUGAUAUGAGUAACUUGAGACCUAUGCGUUAUUGCGAAUGUGGUUAGUCAUAAUCUUUGCUGAAAAUUUGAAUGCUGGCUUUACAUAUUUACAACAACAAGAGCAAACAGAGUUUGUAAAAGUUUUUCUUUAUCACUUUCAGUUUGUCAACUGAAAUGCUUGAGGACAAGCAAAGGUUUAAACUUGGGGGAGUUGAUACGUCUCCAAUGUAUCUACUUUUCCAAACACUUUUCCCCUUGUUUUGGACUCUAACUUGCAUGAUUGAAUGGAACUAACAUGGACUGAUGCUGUUUUCAGCAGAAUUACCAUGGUGUUAUUUAUGUGCAGGAUCAAAUGAUCUCGGAAUGGCCUGAAACUUCACGGAGACACUUUUGAUAAAAUAAGAAAAAUACCUGCCAAAGAUGAAGGCCAGGGGGCCCACCACCUUGCCACAAGGGUGGGGGCGUGCCUGCCCCCCUAGGGCGCGCCCCCCUACCUCGUGGGCCCCCUGUUGCGUCUCCGACUCCAAGUCCACCUCCAUAUAUUGAGUUUCAAUGAGAAAAAAAUCAGAGAGAAGAAAUCAUCGCGUUUUACGAUACGGAGCCGCCGCCAAGCCCUAAAACCUCUCGGGAGGGCUGAUUUGGAGUCUGUUCGGGGCUCCGGAGAGGGGAAUACGUCGCCAUCAUCAUCAACCAUCCUCCAUCACCAAUUUCAUGAUGCUCACCGCCAUGCGUGAGUAAUUCCAUCGUAGGCUUGCUGGACGGUGAUGGGUUGGAUGGGAUCUAUCAUGUAAUCGAGUUAGUUUUGUUAGGGUUUGAUCCGUAGUGUCCACUAUGUUCUGAGAUUGAUGUUGCUAUGACUUUGCUAUGCUUAAUGCUUGUCACUAGGGCCCGAAUGCCAUGAUUUCAGAUAUGAACCUAUUAUGUUUUGAUCAAUAUAUGAGUGUUCUUGAUCCUAUCUUGCAAGUCUAUAGUCACCUAUUAUGUGUUAUGAUCCGUUAACCCCGAAGUGACAAUAAUCGGGAUACUUAACGGUGAUGACCGUAGUUUGAGGAGUUCAUGUAUUCACUAUGUGUUAAUGCUUUGUUCCGGUUCUCUAUUAAUAGGAGGCCUUAAUAUCCCUUAGUUUUCGUAAGGACCCUACUGCCACGGGAGGGUAAGACAAAAGAUGUCAUGCAAGUUCUUUUCCAUAAGCACAUAUGACUAUAUUCGGAAUACAUGCCUACAUUAUAUCAAUGAACUGGAGCUAGUUCUAUGUCACCCUAGGUUAUGACUGUUACAUGAUGAACCGCAUCCGGCAUAAUUCUCCAUCACCGAUCCAUUGCCUACGAGCUUUCCAUAUAUUGUUCUUCGCUUAUUUACUUUCCCAUUGCUAUUGCUAUCAUCACUACAAAAUACCAAAAACAUUGCUUUUACUACUGUUACCUUUUGCUACCAUUAUCACUACUAUCAUAUUACUUUGCUACUAAACACUUUGCUGCAGAUAUUAAGUUUCCAGGUCUGGUUGAAUUAACAACUCAGCCACUAAUACAUGAGAAUAUUCUUUGGCUCCCCUUGUGUCGAAUCAAUAAAUUUGGGUUGAAUACUCUACCCUCGAAAACUGUUGCGAUCCCCUGUACUUGUGGGUUAUCAGCCCUCGGGUCGACUCGCGUGCGUUUCAAGCUGUUCAAGUUGCCACCUCCGCCGUGUCAACCACGCUGCCGCUACAGUUUAUGAGCCGCCCCCCUAGUGAUGCCUCCGUUUCGCUGCUAUGUUGAGCCGUCGGGGCCGCGUUGAGCCGCCUCUGCCGUGUUGAGCCGCCCGGACAAUCAGGUGAUAUCUAUCCGUUUAAGUUUAUUUUAUUAGCAUAUAUUUCUUUUUAUCAAAGAAAAAUUACUCUGACUUGCGAUGUUUUUGAUGCAGGACAAUUGUUCACUGCAAACCCGCGGCCUCUGCGGCCCAGUUUACAUCAACGUGACGAGGCCAAGCCACCCGUCCGCGCGGUUUUUACCACGCCUGUGAUCGACUCGCCCAUCCGCACUGGCUUACAACGCCACGGCUGGCUCAUCUGUCUGUGCCACCUCUGAUGCAACGGUCGUCUUUACCAUCCAUCUCUCGCGGUUUGGUCUAUAUCAACACACCGGACCGCACCUGUCUGCAUAAGUUGUUUAUUGAAUAUGAGCGAGUCACUACUUGGGAAGCCCAGUUUUCUUCCAACAAAUUGGAGGCGAAUUAUCAUGUAUUAUUAGCCGCCGUCUGCACUACAUGGCUCAAUGGGCAGGCGCACAAGUCGCCGCCACUACAGUUUGGUUAAACUUCAAACAACCAGUUGGAAGGAACCAUUGGCCAAGUUGCUGACACGUCUCAUACGGGAUCAUUUAUAAACCCGCCGCAGUCACCUCAACCUUCUGUGAAUUCACAUCACGCUAUCAACGCCAAUGCUAUACACCUUCUCUUAUGGUCAAAUAUGGAGAAUCUCAAGCCAACUCCUUGAGUCAUCUUGAGACUCGGGGGCUACAAUGAUAUGACUCGGCAAAAUUAGCCGGUUUCAAUGAAUUCAAGAACUCCGGGUCAUUGAAGGGAAAAAUAACCCGGCCCCGAAGAUUACUGCUAGAUCAAUGAAAAUGUAAAGGCCGUUAGAAGAUUUCCGGCUCAAAAUAAGGAUUCUAGUUCAAAAUCUAGUUCAAGGACAAUCUGUCUCCCACAAAGUUUUGAAGCUUUCAAAUCCGGUUUAAAGUUCCGAUUCAAAAAGAAUUAAUCUCUCGCAAGUUCGAGUUCUCAGAAAAAUUAAAGGUUUCCAAAAAGAACUUGCUGGCAUGAUGCGCGGUUCAAACAUGGGUAUCCUGCCUUACGGCUUAUCUUAUUAUGGUCACUUGGGGGCUUCCUGCUCAUCGAGCAUAGCUGUCGGUACCCUCUUGAUCGGCGCAAUGCCAAAACUUAUAUGAUCACUAGGGGGCUUCCUGUUAAAACAUAGGUCAUAUUCGAACCAAAGAGAACACAGCUGUCGGUACCCUUUUGAUUGGCACACUUCCAAACCCACUAGGGGGCUUCUUGAUCGUAUCCGAAUCAUAGCUCAACCCCUUUGGGUCCGACGUGGAUCGUAUUUGAAUCAACGUCGUUAAACAACUCUCAAGGUCAUUUGGGGGCUUCCUGUUCAAACAUAGGUCGUAUUCGAACCAAAGAGAACAUAGCUAUUGGCACCCUCUUGAUCGGCAACGCCAAAGCCAUUGGGGGCUAUAUGAUCGUAUUCGAAUCUUAGCUUAACCCCUUUGGUCCGGUUUACUGAUCGUAUUCGAAUCAGAAGCCUCAAAUUUUUCUUUCUAUUUGGCUUAAGUUUUUUUUGUUUUUGUCUUAAGGAAUUUUGUCCAGAUCUAAGUAUAAGUAUGGUUUAAAUUUCACCUGGCUUGACUUUGGAUGAUAAGUCGCCAGUAUAUGAAAAUCAUAAACAUUUGGAAGUUUUGGCUUCUAAAGAUUGGGUUAUCACCCUUACUGCACAUGUAUCAUAAGCCAGCGUACGAUUCAAUAUCACAGAUAUGAUAUUGUUUAUACAUGAUUAUGUUUAAGCCGGCCCUGGCUUUUGAUGUUAAAUCGCCAGGGCAUAUGUUGUUUAACCUCUAUGUAGGAUUUGCAAAACUAUGACUUAUAUAAAUGCUUAAGUCCAAGCUCAUCAUUAAAAUUGAUGCUUCAAAAUGAUCAUCUAUUCUAGAUUUUCUCAAAGGCUAUAAGCCACCGGGUUAUAAAAAUUCCGGCUUACAAUGGAGGCGUAUUAAAUCGCCAUCGGUCAAGAGCCACCGGGUAUUUAAAACUCCGGAUUUACUUGUCAACAGAUAAGGUAUUUGAAUCUUUAAAUAGCCAAACUUGGCUGGAUUUUCAUUAUGAUAUUGAAUGAUUGAGGUUUUCAAACCGGGUUAUUCAAAUUUUUAAUAGCCAACAUGGCUGGAUUUUUAUUAUGGUUAUCAGUAACUAAUAUUAUGAUUGAGGUUUUCAAAGUCUAUUUGGUGCAAUGGCUAUUAUUUUAUCAAUGGAUAUGAUUUAUCCUACAAUGAAAUGAAUAGUCCCGAGUCGUUGCACGCUUACGACCCGGCACUUGGGGGCUACAUUAUUCAAAUUGAGAUUACAUCGAAUAUGCAAGUCCCAUGUCACUGCCAGCAUGCACCAUGGUACUUGGGGGCUAAUGCAAAGUCAUUUUUGCUCAACUUAUUGAAGACCCGACUCAUCACAUUUUAAAUGAGCCGGCCCUUGGGGGCUACCAAUUACUCAUGUCAAAAAUUCAAGGUACACAAGCCUUAAUCCAUUAUAUUGAAAGAUCCACUACUCAGUUGGUAGAGUACAAAGCUCUUAACCUUGUGGACAUGGGUUCAAGCCCCAUGGUGGAGAUUACAUCAUAUGAUGUUAUUAUCAAUGAAUCAUAUACAAAGUCCCAGCUCAGUAAUAUCUUACUGAGCCGGCCCUCAGGGGCUACACGUUGCUGCUCAAGUUUACAUGAUCAUAUUUACAAAGUCCCUGAUCAUUAUUACAUAAUCACCUGGCCCUUGGGGGCCACACUGGUUGAAUUUUUAUGAGUCUAAGGCAAUUACAAGUCCCAGGUUGCUGCACGCAUGACAACCCGGCACUUGGGGGCUACAGGUGAUAUGCAUAUAAGGGAGGAAUAACUUCAAAUUCUCAAUUUUGAGCAAAUCAGGUAUUAUAUUAUUAUCAGAGAAAUCUGCAAAGUUUAUGACCCGGCGUCAUCAUAAGAUUAACCCGGCAUCAGCAACAAUCAUGACCCGGAAUUAUCAGUUUUAUAACCCCGCGAUUUUGGAAAUCAUAGAUCGGCAAGUUCUAUAUUUUGAAGACCAAUAUUUUUGUGAAGUCAGAGCAUUGAAGGCCGAGUCAAAUGGAUUCUUUAUUUACAAUAUUUUUUCUACAAGCAAAUUGAUUAUGAAGCUGGUCUACUGACCCGGAUUUUCUAGGAGGAAAUGACAAGGAUUUAAGGAUGAUUAGGUGUCGGCUUACAAAAUAUUUAACCCGGAGCACAACCUGUCAAAUUUGUUCUUGUGUUUGUUUUACAGGAUCAGUUUAACAUGGAUAAAUCCAAAUUAAACUGGGGGCUAAUGUCGGGGAUAUACCCCACGGUGUAAACCGGCCGGAAGUAUAACCCGGUCGGACUUGGCGGUUUAUUUGAGAUCCCGCCGACACUUGGCGAUUCACUGGCGACCCGCCCUGACCUGGCGGUUUACAAGCAACCUGACUGGACAUUAUAACCCACUGGUGACCCGGCGGCGGGACAGACGAAUGACAAGGCCCAAGACCCAGAGGGCCGGUUUAUAUUAAUGGUGGGCCAGUUUAAGAGGAAAGGCGUGAAGAAUAUUACCUUACAAGGAGUUAAAGACCCGGACUUGUAUCCGGUUUGUAUUAGAAGGUAGACUAGUCAUAAUCCUAAUAGGACCCCACAUGUAACCCGCCCCUUCAACAUAUAUAAGGAGGGGUAGGGCUCCCCAAAGAGGGACAAGCAAGAAGCAAUAAUCUCUAGUGCUAGACACAACUAGAGGAGAGCCGGCUUACCGGCGACUCUCUCAUGAGCAUAAUGAGAUCUAGCCACAAACAACAUGUAGGGCUAUUACCGGAUGAUGUUUCCCGGGGCCCGAAGCUGUCUAAAUCCUUGUCUUAUGUGUUGAUCCACCUCGCGUCUCUCAAUUCCGACCAACCCCUUCAAGCUACUGCAUAGAUGCGUUGGCCUCAUGACUAAGUCCUCAUACCGGCGACUCUCUCAUGAGCUUAAUGAGAUCUAGCCACAAACAACAUGUAGGGCUAUUACCGGAUGAUGUUUCCCGGGGCCCGAAGCUGUCUAAAUCCUUGUCUUAUGUGUUGAUCCGCCUCGCGUCUCUCAAUUCCGACCAACCCCUUCAAGCUACUGCAUAGAUGCGUUGGCCUCACGACUAAGUCCUCAUACUAGGACAUCUGCCGUGACAAUUCCACGACAGAUCUGUUGGUGCUAUUGGAUAGAGGAGAGAAGGGAUCUGGUGGUGCAAGAAAUUGAAGAUGAAAGAUGAGGAAGAAGAAGGGGAUCUGGUGGUGGUGGUGGACCAAAGCUACAUGUAGAGUGCAAGUUGCUGGGUGGGUGUUUGCAGCAGGUGCAAGUACAUGCUUGCUUUUGAGUUCAGUUGUGCUGAGAAAGGGGGCCUGGAAUAACUUAGUUCAUUUAGUACAACAAUUAGUUUGCAAAGUUAGUUCAGUUGUGACAGGGUUUCUGUUAGUAAUUUGAAAGCAAUGAGGUUAAGUACAAUCCAGUUAACUUUGCAAACUAAAUUCAGUUAACUAUAAAAAUUUAGUUAAUUUUGCAAACUAAAUUCAGUUAACUAUAAAAAUUCAGUGAACUGCAAACUAAAUUCAGUUAACUAUAAAAAUUCUGUGAACUACAAACUAAAUUAAAUUUGACGGAAUUUGAAUUAGGUAACUUUCUAUCAGAAUUAGUUUAACUACACUUCUAACAUGAAAUACAUCUGUCAAGCAUUUCAAAGCAAGUAGGUCAAGUAGGCUUCACAUUACUGACAUAUUAUCCAAUACAACAAGCAUUACAACUAAGACUUCAUACCGAGCAAACAAAAGCAACCAUUUUAGUAUGCUUAGUUUACACACCUGCACCUACUCAAUUAACAACACUUCACUUCUUCAUAAUUAAGGUGAAACACAUCACAUAAAGCACUAUAACAAAACCAAUCAUCAGCUUUAGCAGCAUCAAAAUCUCUCUGCCUAAUCCUAAAAGCAUAGCAAUUUGCUGCUUGGUAGCAUACUUAUUCUCACUGGAGCUACCAUAAUUAUCUCUUCCAGCCCUACCUCUCCCAGCCAUGACCCUUCCAGCUAUGCCUCUGCCUGCCAUUGAUUCAGUCCUCUGCCUCUCAAGCUCUUCCCUCAUGUCCUCAGCUGCACCAAUUGCAUCUACAGCAGCAUCACCAACCAGACGCCUUGUUUCAACCAGAUGCUGCACAUAUUCAAGCUCCCAGUGCCAGAAAUCACAAGUGACCUGAUUAAUCAGUGGCAAAAUUAGUUAACCAUGUUAACCAACUCCACAAAAUUACAGAUUGAAUGAAUCAAUGGCAACCUAGUUAACCAACUACUGUAUUGCUCUAAACUACUGCAUUAGUUAACCAACUAAUUUUGCAACCUAAAGACCAAUUUAAUCAGUGCUCUGCUUCAUUAUUAUAGUGAGUUGACACGGCAUGAAUCUAUUGAAAUGGCACCUACAUGGUGGUUCACGCACUUGUAGAAGAUCCAUCCAUCGUGCUCAACGGUGCUAGACCGGUAGAACCUCACCUGCUCGCCGCAAUCCGGGCACCCGAUCAGUGGUACAGCAAUGAAGCAGCCACGCAGCGCUGAGCGGAUGGAGCUAGAAGACGACAUGAAGGAGGAUACAGAGGAGACGAAGGAGGGCGUCGGCAAUGGUUUUGGCGGCGGAGGGCGACGAUGUCGACAAUGGCUGCGGCGGCGCGGACGGGAGUUGUCUAGGGUUUAGAGGAGAGGAAGCGGAGAGCGAGAGGGGAUAAGGGAGCGACUAAGUGCGGGAGGGUGCAACCGGGUGCGGUCCGACCAGGUGCGGGGCGUUUAAUGGCCAGGUGUUGGCCCAUUUGCAAAAAAACCCGAACUACUAGUAUUAACCACCCCCACCCCCCGACCAGGUGCUGCAUAGCUGGCAAUGGCUGACUCGGCCAAGUCAGCAAAUACGUAGCUCAAUUCGUAUAUAUGGACCAAAGUGAACCCUCUGCACAAGUACAUGGAAUGUAGUUCGGGUAUUUUGAAGUAGUGGUACUUAAGUGUCAGCCAGCUCAAGUUUUGUGACCUACAGUGAAUUUUUCUCUUAGAGAUAUAUUACGUAUAUUGUUGCAUUGGAUUGGUUGAUGGGAUGGAUUGAUUCAUGGUGUGUAGUCUCACUGAAAAUGAGCUUUGAUCCUGACUUUGGGGAGUUGAUCAGGACUUGUACAACCCAUGGUGCUCAAUAAAAUGAACCAAUUUUUUUAAGUAUCAUGUGCCACUAGUAGAAAAGGGGCUUUCGUUCGGGCAUGGCCAGCCCAUUAGUCCCGGUUCUGCCAUGAACCGGGACCAAUGGAUGCAUUUGUCCCGGUUCGUGAGCCCAGGGGGCCGGUCGGGGCCUCGUGGGCAUUGGUCCCAGUUCGUAUGGACCCAUUUGUCCCUGUUCCAGGCAUGAACCGGGACCAAUGGGCCUCGCUCCCGGCCCACAAACAUAGGUCCCGGUUCUUGGCUCGAACCGGGACAGAAGGCUGGGCUUUAGUCCCGGUUCCAGCCACGAACCAGGACAAAUGAUCUUCCUAUAUAUACCCCAUCGCCGGCGAGCAGAGCACUCCACAGUGCUCUAUUUUUUGCUGGCCGACGAGGAAGGGCAUUUGGGUGCUCUAGCUCACCUCUUAUGCAUGUGAGGUGUUUGAUGAAAUGCCCGAGCCACAUUAGUUAAGCUUUCUCCUCUCGAAGCUCGACCUCGGAGCUCCAUUUUUUCCGAGAUUUGUCUAGGUUUAGCGGUCCGUCACGCCCCGUCCUUGUCUUCACCAUCGUUGAUCGCCCUCGCCGAUCUCGUCGCCGGCACCACCGUGGUGAGCCUCUUGUUCUUAUCUUCUUUCUGAAAGAAAAAAAAUCUUACAUUAGAUAGAUACUUGUCUAAUUUUCUUACUUUUGACACACAUAAUUAUAUGUAAUGCACACAGAUGAACCGGCAAUGGAUGUACAGUGACAGACACACCUCCGAGUACACUAAGGGCGUGCGUAAAUUUCUCGAAGUGGCUGAGGCAAACAAGCAGAAUGGUUUUAUGUGUUGUCCAUGCCCUGAUUGUGGGAAUACGAGGUCUUACUCUGACAAGAAAAUCCUUCACACCCACCUGCUUUAUAAAGGUUUCAUGCCACACUAUAAUGUUUGGACGAUGCAUGAAGAAAUAGGGGUUAUGAUGGAAGACAGCAAAGAAGAAGAGGACGAUGACAACUAUGUGCCCCUGAAUAUAGUGAUGCUGCAAGGGGGAAGCUGAAGAUCAAGAGGAAGAUGAAGAUCAAGAGGAACCAGACGAUGUGCCCGAUGAUGAUCUCCGUCGGGUCAUUGUUGAUGCAAGGGAAAAGUGCGAAAGUGAAAAGGAGAAGCUGAAGUUCGAUCACAUGUUAGAGGAUCACAAAAAAGGGUUGUAUCCCAAUUGCGAAGAUGGCAACACAAAGCUCGGUACCGUACAGGAAUUGUUGCAGUGGAAGGCGGAGAAUGUUGUGCCUGACAAAGGAUUUGAGAAGCUACUGAAAAUAUUGAAGAAGAAGCUUCCAAAGGAUAACGAAUUGCCCGACAGUACAUACGCAACAAACAAGGUCAUAUGCCCUCUAGGAUUGGAGGUGGAGAAGAUACAUGCAUUCCCUAAUGACUACAUCCUCUACCGCGGUGCGUACAAGGAUUUGAAUGCAUGCCCGGUAUGCGGUGCAUUGCGGUAUAAGAUCAGACGAGAUGACCCUGGUGAUGUUGAGGGCGAGCCCCGCAGGAAGAGGGUUCCUACGAAGGUGCUGUGGUAUGCUCCUAUAAUACCACGGUUGAAACGACUAUUCAGAAAGAAAGAGCAUGCCAAGUUUAUGCGAUGGCACAGUGAGGACCGUAAGAAAGACGGGAAGUUGAGAGCACCCGCUGAAAGGUCGCAGUGGAGAAAAAUCGAGAGAAAGUACUGGGCUCAGUUUGCAGGUGACCCAAGGAACGUAUGGUUUGGUUUAAGCAUGGAUGGCAUUAAUCCUUUCGGGGAGCAGAGCAGCAAUCACAACACCUGGCCCAUGACUCUAUGUAUGUAUAACUUUCCUCCUUGGAUGUGCAUGAAGCGAAAGUUCAUUAUGAUGCCAAUUCUCAUCCAAGGCCCUAAGCAACCCGGCAACGGCAUUGAUGUGUACCUAAGGCCAUUAGUUGAAGAACUUUUACAGCUAUGGAAUGGAAACAGCGUACGUGCGUGGGAUGAGCACAAACAGGUGGAAUUUAACCUGCAUGUGUUGCUGUUUGUAACCAUCAAUGAUUGGCCCGCUCUCAGUAACCUUUCAGGACAGACAAACAAGGGAUACCAUGCAUGCACGCACUGUUUAGCUGACACCGAAAGUAUAUACCUGGACAGAUGCAUGAAGAAUGUGUAUCUGAGCCAUCAUUGAUUUCUCCCGACCAACCAUCAAUGUCGAAAGAAAGGCAAGCAUUUCAAAGGCGAGGCAGAUCACCGGAAGAAGCCCGCCAUGCGUACCGGUGAUCACGUACUUCAUAUGGUCUCUGAAUUACACGUAAUAUUUGAAAAGGGUCCCGACGGACUAGCUGUUCUAAAUGACGUUGAGGGACGCGCACCCAUGUGGAAGAAGAAAUCUAUAUUUUGGGACCUACCCUACUGGAAAGAGCUAGAGGUACGCUCUUCAAUCGACGUGAUGCACGUGACGAAGAACCUUUGCGUGAACCUGUUAGGAUUCUUGGGCGUGUAUGGGAAGACAAAAGAUACACCUGAGGCACGGGACGACCUGCAACGUUUGCAUGAAAAAGACGGCAUGCCUCCAAAGCAGUAUGAAGGUCCUGCUAGCUACGCUCUUACCAAAGAAGAGAAGGAAAUCUUUUUUGAAUGCCUACUCAGUAUGAAGGUCCCGACUGGCUUCUCGUCGAAUAUAAAGGGAAUAACAAAUAUUCCAGAAAAAAGUUCCAGAACCUAAAGUCUCAUGACUGCCACGUGAUUAUGACGCAACUGCUUCCGGUUGCAUUAAGGGGGCUUCUACUGGAAAACGUCCGAUUAGCCAUUGUGAAGCUAUGUGCAUUUCUCAAUGCAAUCUCUCAGAAGGUGAUCGAUCCAGAAGUCAUACCAAGGCUAAGGAGUGAUGUGGCGCAAUGUCUUGUCAGUUUGGAGUUGGUGUUCCCACCAUCCUUCUUCAAUAUCAUGACGCACGUCCUAGUUCAUCUAGUCGACGAGAUUGUCAUUUUGGGCCCCGUAUUUCUACACAAUAUGUUCCCCUUUGAGAGGUUCAUGGGAGUCCUAAAGAAAUAUGUCCGUAACCGUGCUAGGCCAGAAGGAAGCAUCUCCAUGGGCCAUCAAACAGAGGAUGUCAUUGGGUUUUGUGUUGACUUCAUUCCUGUACUGAAGAAGAUAGGUCUCCCUAAAUCGCGAUAUUAUGGGAGACUGACUGGAAAAGGCACGCUAGGAGCGAACACAAUAAUAUGCAGAGACGGGCAUUCUUGGUCUCAAGCACACUACACAGUUCUACAGAACUCUACCUUGGUGACCCCGUAUGUCGAUGAACACAAGAACAGUCUGCGCUCCAAACACCCAGAGCAGUGUGACGACUGGAUUACAUGUGAACACAUCAUGACUUUCUGCAGUUGGUUGGAAACACGUCGCAGAGGUGACAAUACUGUUUGUGAUGAGCUGUACUCAUUGUCCAGGGGUCCAUCUUCGACUGUAUUGACUUACAAAGGAUACGAGAUAAAUGGGAAUACAUUUUACAUGAUCACCCAAGAUCAAAAGAGCACCAACCAAAACAGCGGUGUCCGCUUUGAUGCAGCAACCGAGAGGGGAAAGGACACAUAUUAUGGUUACAUAGUGGAUAUAUGGGAACUUGACUACGGACAUGAUUUUAAGGUUCCUUUGUUUAAGUGCAAAUGGGUCAAUCUGUCAGGAGGUGCGGUACAGGUAGACCCACAGUACGGAAUGACAACAGUGGAUCUGAACAAUCUUGGGUACACUGAGGAACCGUUCGUCCUAGCCAAUGAUGUGGCACAGGUUAUCUAUGUGAAGGACAUGUCUACCAAACCGAUAAAAAUAAAAGAUAAGGAAGUGAAUACAUCAUAUGAUGAGCCAAAGCGCCACAUAGUUCUUUCAGGAAAAAGGGACAUCAUGGGAGUGGAGGGCAAGACAGACAUGUCCGAAGAUUAUGAAAAGUUUCAUGAAAUUCCUCCCUUCAAAGUCAAGGCUGACCCAAGCAUCCUGAUAAAUGAUGAAGAUUAUCCAUGGUUACGACGCAAUAAGCAAAGCACACAAGCGAAGAAAAAGUGAAGACUUUCUGUCCACAACUAUUAUGAUGAUACCAUGCCAACUUUCAACCUUUUCCUAGUUCAUUUGAAAUGCAUGUUGUAACACACGAGUUUCCGUACGAAACCCUGAUAUCUCGAAACAGAUUGUCCAUUUUGUUGAAAUGCUUUGAAUGUUUUGUUGAAAUGCUUUGAAUGUUGCAUUUUAUAAACCUCUAGUAUUAUUGAAACUAAAAUUAUAUAGAAAUUAUGCAACUAAAAUUAUAUAGAAUUUUCAUAAAGAACUUUUUUGUUACAAAUUUUAAUAGCAGAAAGAAUUAUCAUAAUAUAAAUUAAAUAAGUAAUUAGAAACAAAAUAAUAUAAAGUUUAAUAAAAUAUAUAAGUAGAAACAAAAUAAAAUAAAAUAAAAUAAACUUUAAUAACAUAAAUAAAAUUUAUGAAACUAAAAUUAUCAAAGUAUUUUCUGUUCAAAACAUUAUAAGCAAUCUCUAGUAUUAUUGAAACUAAAAUUACAUAUAAAAUUGAUGCAACUAAAAUUAUCAAAGUAUUUUCUGUUCAAAAUCAUUAAAAGCAAAAGGAAUUUUCAUAAAGAACUUUUUUUGUUAGAAACUUUAAUAGCAAAAUAAAAUAAAAUAAGUUUUUUGUUGUAAGUAGAAACAAAACAAAAUAAAUAAAGCAAAAAAGAAAACAAAAAAAUUGGGAAAAAAUAAAAAAUAUGCCACCUACUGGGCCUCCACGGCCUGAAUACGACUAGAAACCCAUCCAUGGGCCAGGAUUCAGGCCCGCAGAAGGCCCAGUAGGCCCAUCGGGCAUACCAAUGACAAUUAGGCCCGAAAGCCUACAAUGAAGAGGAGCUCGAGAGGGGUGCGGCAGUGGGGCUUAUAAACCACUAUGCGCCCCUCUCAACUAGCGAGGUGGGACUAAACAUUUGGGCACGGGAAGAACGAGACCUUUGGUCUCGGUUAGUGCCACCAACCGGGACUAAAGGGGUGCAUUGGAACCGGUUCGUGGCACCAACCGGUACGAAUGCCCCCCUUUGGUACCGGUUGGUGCCACGAACCGGGACCAAAGGUAGCCGCUUCCCGCCUUUUGGCUGCCGAAAACUGAACUUUGGUCCCGGCUGGUGACACCAACCGGGACUAAAGGGGGCAUUGGUCCCGGUUUGUGCCAUGAAUCGGGACCAAUGCCUAGUCUAUACAAGCAGGACUUGUAAAUUUUUCAUUCAGUUGCUCAUUCCCCCGCCGCGACGCCGCCAGGCUGCCCCCCUGUCUCGUCGUCGCCAUCGUCGCCCCUGCCUUCGACGCGCCGCCCCGACGCCGUGCCGCCCCGGACCCAUGCCGUCGUCGCCCCGCGCCACCCCUGCCCCGACACCGCCGGCCCUGCCUCCUCGUCGCCGUCGCCACGCACCCUGUGAGCGCUGCCCGCCGAUCCCCUCCUCCUCCCUGUAAUGGCCGCCGCCGCCGCUGUGCCCCCUAUAUAUAGAUGUGGUAAUUUAGUUGUAUUAAUUUGGAUGUGUAGUUUAGAUGUGUAGUUAAUUUAGUUGUUGUAAUUUAGUUGUAUUAAUUUAGAUGUGUAGUUUAGAUUUUGUUCAUAGAAUUUUUAUGUUUUUUUUUCUAUUGUAUUUUUGUUCAUAGAAUUUUCUUUGUCAAUUUAUGUAUAUGUUCAUAUUGUGUAUGUAUAGGAAAAUUGUGUAUGAUCAAAGUCAUUUAUGUAUAUGAAAUAGUUAGAACAAAAAGGAGAGAUAAAAGGAAAAUAAGAAGAGGAAGAAUAAGAAGAAGAAGAAGAAGAAGAAGAAGAAGAAGAAGAAUAAGAAGAAGAGGAGAGGAAGAAGAGGAGAAAUUAAUAAGAAGGAGUUCUACUUCUUCUUCUUCUCCUAUAUUCCUUCUUCGUCUCCUCUUUUUUUUCCUUUUUUUCUUCGAUCUCCUUCUCUAUUCCUUUCUUAUUCUCCUCUUUUUUUUCUUCUUCUUCCUCUUCUUAUUUUUUUAUCGGGUAUGUCGUUGUCGAUAUACCCCCCCCCCCUACCCGAUAACUUUUAGUAAGUACUAGUUAGAAAGUGCUUAAUUAAUUAGUAGUUGAACUAGUUGAUUUAAUAAAACUACUUUAUUUUACUAUAUAUAGAAGUAGUUUAUUUUUAGCAAGUACUACUUUAUUUUAUUUAUAGUAAGUGCUUAGUAGUUGAACUACUUGAUUUAAUAAAACUAGUUUACUUUACUAUAGUGGUAGUUUAUUUUUAGCAAGACAAUUAAUAGAACUAGUUUAUUUUUUAGUUAAAGCAAUUAUUCCCGCAUCGACAUCGAUGAUGCCUAUCCCGCAUCCUUGUCGUCGACUUGGCGGAGGAGGCCGGCUUGAUCAGAGGGGCCAUGUCCGGGACUGGGCUCCGUCGGGAUGGUUUUGGGAUGUGCUACCUUCUGGGGGCCGUAGGUUGGUGAGGAGCCAGCCCGUCGUUGACCCGAUCCUUGUUUGGUGGUGGUCGUGUAGGCCAGUGACGGUGCCAAGGCUUCCGGACACCGCGGAGGUGGUACGUCACCGUGUCAGCGAGGAGGACGAGCACGUCCGUCGCAACAUGGUUGCGUUGGACGGCAGGUUCGAAAAUACCUGGCAGGUUCUUCAUGGAUCUCACUGGAGCGAUCCCGUGAUGGUUCCUUCUCUUCGGGUGUCCACCACCCGUGCCGAUACCCGUCGGGCGCUAUGGUUCAGCUGUACUAGCGAUGUUAUAUGUAUGAUAGUAUUCGAAGUGUAUUAGUGAUAAUAUUCGACGAUGUACGGACGCAAGAGAUGAUGUAGUUUUGCUUAUAAUUGAAUGCAUCCUAAUUUGAAUACUACUUUAUUUGGCGAUUUGAUUUUGCUUAUUGAAUGCUCAAAUUGGAAAACUACUCCUACUUUGAAUGCUAAAAUUGGAGAGCACUAUGCAAGGCGUAUGCAUAUGAUUAGUUGAUAGCUUAUAGGGUUUUUGUUUUCGCAGAAAUCUAGGAGCCCCCCUCCAUCAUCCCUGCCGUCGUCCCUGUCACCGACCCCAUCCGACCUCGAGGUGAGAAAAGCCAAAUCCUUUUUUUAGAAAGAUAAUUAAACAAUAUUUCGGGUUAACUUUAAGUCUGUCAAGUCUCCACCAUAUAUGAGAGGACGAAGAAUCCCAACUGUUGUCGUGGGGGUUGUUUCUCCUUCUUCUCCGGGUGCUAGACCUUUGUUAUGCACUAGGGGAAGAAGGAGUAACGACCAUCACCGACGAUCGCAAAUGUCAGAGAGGAAUCAGUGAGGGAGAGUUCCACCAUAUAUAUAUAUAUAUAUAUAUAUAUAUAUAUAUAUAUAUGAGAGGACGAAGAAUUCCGACUAUUGUCGUGGGGGUCGCUUCUCCUUCGUUCCUGUGUGCUAGACAUUUUGGUGUAAUGCACUCGGGGACAAAGUGAGGAGCGACCAUCACCGAGAGUCGAAUAUAUACACCACAUGAGCUGAGAGUUUUCAAGAAAAGACUCGACAGACCGAUAGUCAACCCAUGAUGAAUAAUAAUGAUAUAAUUUAGUUUUUGUAGUACAUAUAUUUAAUUGUACAAGUUUAAUCUUUGAAUUAUGAACGUAGGAAAUGUCGUCAUCAGACGACGAAAGUCUCCCGGGGGAGUGCAUCUGGUGCCAUGACGAUCGAGGUCUGUGUGACAUGCCUCACCUGGACGAUGAUCAGCGCUUCAACAUUAAGCUCGAGGAGACCUUCGAUGUUGAAACGGUACGCAACGACGACAAGUGUUUUUUCGUAAUUAAGCAUUACUACAAAUAUUUCAACGUGUAAUUUUCAUCUUUUACAAUUCGAGUAGCUUAUCCCAUGUCAUGCAAGGUGCUAUGUCUUGGAGAGGAUGGGUUUUGAAGACGAUGAAAGUUUCAAAACAAAGAAAAUUCAUCUAAGGACUCAUCAUGAUGUGGAUUUUGAAGUAAAGCUUUACAAUUCUGAGAGAGUAACUCAUUUUGGUUACAAAAACUGGGAAGCACUUUGCAAGAUGUAUGGUUUUGAUGAGGGUAUGCUUGUCACCAUGGAUCUUGGUGAUCCUGAAAUCGAGCAAGACAAUAUGGACAUUUGGGUCCUUGUUGAUACGCCUCCAAUUCUAUCGCUAUGUGAGUUUAGUUUCUCAAACAUAGUUAUUAGCUAAUUUAUAUUGUUUAUUUCAAAAUAGUUGACAACUUAUUUCCAUUGACAGCUUAUUUUCAUUGUUCAAAGAAUGUGCAGGAGAUGGUAGACAAAACCCACUACACCGAUGGCUCCAAAUUAACUUACAAGGAGAAAAAUCAUCUGGUCGGAUUUUGUACUGACAUUGAGAAUCACAAUAUCUACAAUCAAACUCCUCAACAUUAUGGUCAAUACGUGCCACUAGUGCAUGUGUUCAACUACGGUAACUACCAUGGAGAUACCCUGGUAAGAUUUUUUACUAUUACGACAUUUGUGCAUCUUUGGCAUACUUCUAAAACUAGUACAUCAUUGCUAACUAUGAAGUUAUUACUAUGUUUUUCAAUAGAUAAUCCCAGAGAAUUGUGUGCCUCAUUUGAUGUAUCAGAAAGGUAGCCUUAAUGUUUUGAACAUACAGUCAGGUCAUCCUACAAAUCUCAACUCUCCAUACCAGAUUUCUAAAAGAAGUGGAGACAUGCAAAUCAAAGGAUGGAAAAAAUGUAUGGACAGUCGUAAGGAGGUUCUUGGAAGCAAAAGGAAGCGAAGCGCAAGAAUUGGAGACAGGAUGAUCUCCAUUCUCCAUAAUGGAGAGUCAGCGUCUAUUUUGUUUUAUGCCAUUUUACCUUAAAGAGAGUAUUUAGGUCCUACCUAAUACUGAUGAUCAUGUGCUAAGAACAAUUAAGUAGGGUUGGUUCGAUGACUAUGAGGAUGAUGAUCGUAUGACUUGUUAUUAAUAACGAGUAGAAGUUGUAUGAUGAUGAUUAGUAGGACUUGUUAUUAUGAUGAUGCAUGAUGCGAGCAUGAAGAGUUAUUAUAUAUCUGUGGGUGAAAUGAACAUGGAUUGGAUUGAAGUGAAGGCAACAUGCAUGUGGUGCAUGUCGAAAGUAGUACAAUCCAAACUUGAUCAAGUUAGGAUUAGAAUUACUUUCGACAUGCACCACAUGUUGCCUCACUUCAAUCUAAGUCAUGUUUAGGCAUAGCAGUAGCAGUAGCAUGGAGAUAAGAGAGGACACAUCUCUCUAUUAGCUAGCUAUACAAACCUAAAUUAACCCCCAAAACCCCAAAACUACCUCCUUUCAAAAAAACCAGCCGCUGAAAUACCGACGCGUGGAAGCUUAUUGGUCCCGGUUGGUGCCACCAACCAGGACUAAAGGCCCACCUGCCUGGGCUCGCCACAGCGGCCACGUGGAGGCCCAUCUGUCCCGGUUCGUAUAAGAACCGGGACUAAAGGCCUAGGGCAUUAGUAACGACCCUUUAGUUCGGGUUCCCCAACCGGGACAGAUGGGCCUUAUGAACCGGGACAAAUGGGCCUUUUUCUACUAGUGUGCUUAUCUCCAUAUCGAGGUGUCUAAUUAAGCAUUUAUUCUUUAUAAAUAAGCACCAGUACUUAGGCAAAAAUCAGCAUCCCCUCUAAGCGCCACUUACGGAACUCAAAAUAUUUUCAAAGAUAUUCAUUUUCCUCAAGAGGCGGACAAGGCAGUUCAUCAAAUGUCCCCUAGAUGUCUUGAUCGGAAAGUUCGGACAUUUUUGGACAUACAACACGCGGGCAUCAAUUUUGUCCGGAUCAACGAAAUCCACAAACCAGAACCAAAUGUAGGGAAGGUUUGUGGGCAUUUGGACCUUCAUCACAUAGGCCUCAGAAAACAUGGGCUCACAUACAAAACCCUCACUACCGGAAUAAGCUUAUAUGCCUACGGCCUUAUCUAUGCCUACGGCAGUCGUAGGCAUAGUAAGGCCGUCGGCAUACAUCGAUCUAUGCCUACAGCAGCCAUAGGCAUAGUUAGGCCGUCGGCAUAGAGGUGGCUCUAGUGGCCCGGGGACAGACGGCGGGCCGACGCUGUCAAAUCUAUGCCGACGGCUCUGACGGCGGCCGUCGGCAUAGAUAUCAUCUGUAAAGUUGUAGGCAUAGUUUUCCAUCUAUGCCUACGGCAAGGCCGUAGGCAUAGCCCCGCCACGUGGCGCCUCCUGGUAGCUCCUGGCCGAGAACUAUGCCUACGGCUGUGCCGUAGGCAUAUAUAUCAUCUGUUUUUUAUUUUAAAUUAUUUUUAUUUUUGAAAGUUAAAAUUUGAUUAAUUUAAAUUUAACUUAUCUAAAAUUAAACAUACACAAAUUAUACAUCGAUUUGGGGUAGAAUUUUCCGUAGAUUAUGAAUAUCCAGGUUGUUUUGUUUUUGAGUAUGUUAGAAAUGUGACCUCAUGUACUUUUGCAUAUAGGUCCUUAUACUUUGUUAAAAUCAUAAGUAAUUGACAUGUGGAUCGAUUUUGACAAAUUUAAUAUGGUUUUUAUCAAAAUCUUGAAAGGAUUAUGUUGCUAUACUAUGUUUCAAAUUUGAACAAACCAAAAUCAUGUUUGCUUCAUAUUUACAGAAAAUACCCUUUUAUUUUGACUUAUUUGUUUAUUUUUCAUUCCUUGUCCAAAGAGACAAAAUUUAUAUCUACAUCCAUUAGAUUCUUUCUAGGAUUAUGAUGGAAGGUGUAAACACUGAGCACGCGGCUCCAGAGUGUAACCCCCUUCAUGGACGGUGCUGCUGCUAGCACUGGGAGGGUGGAAAUGACCACGUCGAGUCAAACCGGAGGGAAUCUUGUGGUGGGUUGGGCCCCAACCUUGGUCUGAAAUGUUUCUAUGGGCUGGCCUAUCACAACCAGGUGGAAAAGUCCGUCGGGCAAAGGCCAUCCGGUGAAAGUUAAAGGCCUGGAUCUUAGGGUCAACGGGUAAGGGUUUGGCCGGUCGGGGGCCUUCAGGGGUAGUAAUGCCAAUAAACUUGCAUUGUGUCUUAAUAUAUGUAUACAAGUGUGAUGGAGGGUUGAAAUAGCCAACAGAGCAACAUGCAGCACACUUCCUUCACAAAACCGGACAUGUUCUCUCUCAAUAGCUAGAUACUACGUCGGAGAUGUUGCAAUUUACAAGCUGCCUCCGGUCAGGCUCCUACAAAAUUCGCUCAAACUUUUACCACAACCUACAAGGGCCAUAUGACGACACUGUGCGAGGUCCCGAGAAUUUCCGUCAUCAUAUGAUUUUCCGUGGAGUUUAACGGCUAGGUCCGGCAUGCCGCUGAGGUAUAUUGGCCCUCCGAUGGCGGGGGAUGCCCCUCCUUUGGUUGCACAAGGCCUACACAUACUGCAAAGACAUCAUAUAUGAUUUAAUAAAACACUUCUAGACAUCAUUUCAGGUGAUCACCAUGCAGAUCUGCAACUUGCCGCAUUGAAAUCCUACGGAUGCAAUAAAUGUCUCAAAUAUUACAGGCAACCCAGAAAAAUGUCAUGUCCGGGCACGUGUCAUGGAAUGGCCCAUUUGAGCACACGAAGUUUCGAGGUCAACGGAGCAACGAGCAACACUUCCUUCACAAACCGAAGAAGUUCUCUCUCGAUAGCCGCAUACUACCUCGGGGAUGGUGUAGUUUACAAGCGGCCUUCGGUCAGGCUUCUGCGAAACGAGCUCAAACUUUUACCACACUCUACAAGGGCCAUACGACGACACCGUGACAGGUCUCGAGGAUUUUCGGCAUCGUAUGAUUUUUCGUGGAUUUUAAUGGCUAGAUCCGGCAUGCCGUUGAGGUACAUUCACCCUCCGGUGGCGGGGCUUGUCCCUCCUGUGGUUGCACUAGACCUACACAUACCGCAAAGACAUCAUAUAUGAUUUGACAAACCACUUCUGGGUAUCAUUUCAGGUGAUCUCCAUGCAGAUCUAUAACUUCCCGCAUUAAAACCCUACAGAUGCAAUAAAUGUCUCAAAUAUUGCAGGGCCCCAGAAAAAUGCCAUGUUCUGGCACGUGUCAUGCAAUGGUCCCCUUUGAGAGCAUGAGAAGUUUCGAGGUCAACGGAGCAACGGGCAACACACUUCCUUCACAAAGCGGACAAGUUCACUCUCGAUAGCCACAUACUACCUCGGAGAUGGUGUAGUUUACAAGCGGCCUUCGAUCAAGCCUCUGUGAAACGAGCUCAAACUUUUACCACACUCUACAAGGGCCAUACGACGACACUGUGCCAGGUCCUGAGGAUUUCCGGCGUCGUAUGAUUUUUCGUGGAUUUUAAUGGCUAGAUCCGGCAUGCCAUUGAGGUACAUUCGCCCUCCGGUGGUGGGGCAUGUCCCUCCUGUGGUUGCACUAGACCUACACAUACCGCAAAGACAUCAUAUAUGAUUUGACAAACCACUUCUGGGUAUCGUUUCAGGUGGUCUCCAUGCAGAUCUGUAACUUCCCGCACUGAAACCCUACAGAUGCAAUAAAUGUCUCAAAUAUUGCAGGCGGCCUAGAAAAAUGCCAUGUUCUGGCACGUGUCAUGCAACCCCUUUGAGAGCACGAGAAGUUUCGAGGUCAAUUAAGCAACGAGCAACACACUUCCUUCACAAAACCGGACAAGUUCUCUCUCGAUAGCCACAUACUACCUUGGGGUUGGUGUAGUUUACAAGCGGCCUCCGGUCAAGCUUCUGCGAAACGCGCUCAAACUUUUACCACACCCUACAAGGGCCAUAUGACGACACCGCGCCAGGUCCCGAGGAUUUCCGGCAUCGUAUGAUUUUUGUGGAUUUCAAUGGCUAGAUCCGGCAUGUCGCCGAGGUACAUUCGCCCUUCGGUGGUGGGGCAUGUCCCUCCUUUGGUUGCACUACACCUACACAUGCCGUAAAGACAUCAUAUUUGAUUUGACAAAACACUUAUGGACAUCAUUUUAGGUUACAAGCGGCCUCCGGUUAGGCUUCUCCGAAACACGCUGAAACUUUACCACGCCGUACCGUGGUCGGCUCGGCCCAGUCGGAAAGCAUGGGAAGGAGCGAGCCGUUUAGGCCGAUGCCCUUCUCCAAAGUUGUCAAGUGUUUACCCGGAAUAAGAGGAGAAAAUACAAUUGCAAGAGCUUAAUUCUCAUUGGUGGAACCAACUAUGCCAUGGAUUGAUGACAUGGCUCACAUCCAUCCAUCCAUCUCUCCACCCCACAUACAUCCAUCUAAAGAAAAGGAGGAGGAAAAGAAAAAAAAAA